rnacentral:lncRNA from 1 species
GUAGGUUUGCGUUUGAAAAAUGGCCGAGCAAGGUUUCAUGGAUAAGGCCAAGAACUUUGUCACAGAUAAGAUAUCAAAUGUGGCGAAACCAGAAGCAGAAGUCACAGAUGUUGAUUUCAAGAAGAUGGGCUUGAGCCAUGUGGAGUACCUUUCCAAGGUGUCCGUGACCAAUCCCUACAGCCAUUCCAUCCCCAUUUGCGAUAUCAAAUACACCCUCAAAAGCGUUAACAGGUUCCAUUUCUCACUUUUUAACACUGGUCAAUUGGGUUCUUGGCGUUAAUUAGGUCAUGUUGUUUUUACGAAGUUCCGCUUUCUGCCUAUAUUUUUUGCUGUGUCAAAUUUGAUCCUUGAAUUUGCGAAUUGUAUCCGACGACCUACAUUUUAACAUCUGUUGAUGUCUUGUGCUCAAUCCGUUUGCCCUAGCAUUUACUUUUGACCAUUUCGUCGCAAGAAACUAACAGAAAUGGACAAAUGUCCUCAGGUGAGAACAGUUUACAAACUACGUGAAUCAAACUUGAUGCAAUUGAAAAGUCAUUUGUGUUGGGUGUGUUUGGUACGCAGACGGGACGGGACGGAACGAAGGUGUAAUUUUUUAAAAAGAUAUGGGGUAUAUUUGUCUUAAAAUGGUAAAACAUUGUGUUCCACAGACCUGGAACAAACCCGUUCCAGGGGUGGAGGGGAGACGCAAAAACACCCAAAAUCUGUCCCGUGGAACCGCCGUUCCACCCAUUUUUGGCGCACCAAACGCGGGACGGAACGCCUCGUUCCUUUCCGUCCCGUCCCGUCCCACGUACCAAACGCACCCUUAAGUAGAAAGUUUUAGGUUCGAUUGAUUUUGAUACUAGAUUAACAGUUGUGUGAUUUAGUUUAAUCUCCAGUGUUGUUUUAUAAAAAAUAAAAGUUCAGGUGGUAGAUUGAUAUUGUGUUUAGGACCUUCCUUUUGCGUCCUGGCGCAAACCACUUUCCCAUUAAUUUAGACUAGCUUAAAAUAUCGCUUUUUUUUUUCAAAAAAAAAAUAAAACUUGUGGAUUUAAUUGAAAGUACAUUGAUGAUGUUGAAAACUUUGUGAAAUUUAGACGGACCAAACCAGCGUUUUGACCUUUUUUUCCCUCAAUUUGUAGUUUGAUUUUGUGUAUAUUUGCAGGGUGAUUGCAUCGGGGACUAUCCCGGACCCUGGAUCACUAAAGGCAAGUGACAUAACUGUGCUGGAGGUGCUAUUGAAGGUGCCACAUAGCAUAUUGGUGACAUUGGCAAAGGAUCUGGGUGCAGAUUGGGACUUUGACUAUGAGUUGGAUAUAGGCCUCACCAUUGACCUUCCUGUCAUUGGCAACUUCACCAUACCACUCAACAAGAAGGGAGAGUUCAAGCUUCCCACCCUCUUCUAAUCACCAUGCCUUUUCAGAUGCAGUAACUUUUGCUAUUUUGUAUUUGGUUGUUGUUUGUUGAUCUAUGUAUAACUUCAUUAUGGAAUGGAUGAGGAAUUAGGGUGGUGCUAAUGAUGUUUUGAUAUUUAAUUAUGUUUGCCAUAUAAACGGUGGGAAUAAAGUUGUAGAAACUGAAUUCUAUGCAAUGUAUUAAAAGCGUGAGGCGUGGGCGAGGCGUCCGAGACGAAGCCACGUCUAGGCGUGAGGAGUGAGGCGGAAGCCUCACGGGAUUUAAUUAUAUAUAUAUAUAUAUAUAUAUGUUUUAUAUAUUAUACAUAUAAUUGUAUAAAAAUAAUACUAUGUAAAAUAAACAUCUAUUCUCAAUUUUUCAUUCAAAUUCAUAAUCAUUCAAAAGAUAACAUCAUCUAAAUUCAUCAUUCAAAAGUAAUAUCAUCCAAAUUCAUCAUUCAAAAGGUAAUACAAAGAAAACAAUAAACAUUUGAUGCAUGCAUAAAGUUAAUGAACUAACAAUUUAUUAAUUAAUUUAUAUACCGACAAUUUUCAACAAUUUAUUAAUUAAUUUAUAUACCCCUGUAGUCCCAACCACUUAGGCCUAACAAUUUCCAACCUACUAGCACCUUCCACUAAAUUUAUAGCCUAACCUUCCCCAGAAAAUGCAGAGGCAGAUUAAUAAAUUUAUAGCCUAAACAAGGCAGCACGCAGAGGCAGCACGUAGAGGCAGUAGAGGCAGAUUAAUAACUUUUCUGUCUAACUAUUAACCCCUCUAUUAUAGCAAAACCUUUCCCAGAAAACUAAAUCCCUAAUUUCAGAAUUUCAAAAACCCUAACCCUUGGGAUCUUGCUGACGCCGCUGGGGCUGGGGUGACGGUGCUGGGGUGACGGUGGUGGGGUGAUGGCGGUGUGGCGAUGAUGUUGCUCCAAGCGACGGCGUGGCGACCGGACCGGUGUUUUGGGCUUCUGGGCAUCUGGCGCGCGGGAGAAGAAGAAGCAAGAAGGCAGAAGGCAGAAGGCAGAGGCAAACAAAGGCAAUCGAAUUCGAAGGUAUGGUAUGAAGACUGAAAAUCCUUACCCAAACGGCUCAGUUUUGGGUUUGGAUGGUUUUCAAAAAAAAAAAAAAAAAGGGUCUGACAAGGCGCCUGGACGCCUUGAGGCGCCUGGACGCCUUGAGGCGCGCAGACGCCUUGAGGCGCGCCUCCGUCGCCUCGGCGUCUCCGGCGAAGCAUUUCGCCUACUCCAGCAAAACUGAGGCGUUUGCCUCACCGCCCAGCCUCAAGCGCGCCCUAGGCGCGCCCCGAGUUCUUUAAAACAUUGAUUCUAUGUCAGAAAAAAAAAAAAAAAAAAAAAAAAAAAAAAAUCUUGCAUAUAAUUAUAAAUAAUUAUGUUACUUUUUAUAUUGCUAAUUGAUUUUACGUGAAACUUUAACUUUUUUGAAAUCUAAAUAGGAGAAAUCAAGGGGAAUAAAGUAGCUUUAUGUGUGUUCUUGCAUUUGUUCUUUCUAUCUCUUUAAGUUGAUAUAACUUUACCAGUUGUAUAGCUUAAUAAGGCACUUUUAUCAAUAGGGGAACUGAAAUGUCAAUUGGAUCAUUUUUUUCCGAACUCUAGUUUACUACCACACUCGAAAUGUCCACAUCAAUUUUUUGACGCAUUGUAGUUUAUCAUGUUUUUAAUUAGUCUAAUACUUUAACUUCUGGACAUGGCGAUAACUAUUUCGUUUAUGUUUUUUUUUUUUUGUAUUUUUUUAACAAAUAUUAUUAGAGUAAAUUGUAGCUAUGGUCCCUGAACUUUACUCAAAUUGGAGCAAUGGUCAUUCAACUAAAAAUCCAUUACCAUUGGUCCUUCAACUCAUUAAAACGUGCAGCUAUGGUCCCUCAACUAAAAAUUCAUUAUCUUUGGUCCCUUAAUUUUAAUUCAACUGGAGAAAUGGUCCCUUAACUUUAUCCCAAUUGUAGCUAUGGUCCUUCAAACAUAACUCGGUUUGACAAAUUUUUUUAAGUAGUUGACGAAAAUGACCAUAAUUACACACUUUGAUGAGUUGAGGGACCCUAAUUAAAUAAAUGGUUAUUCCAACAUAACAUAUUUUGACAAAAUUUUGAAGAAAUUAAUGAAAAGGACUAUAGCUACAUAUUUUGAUAAGUUGAGGGACCUCCAAUUUAUAAUAUUUUUAAUUGAGGGGAUUGCUCCAACCUUGAGUAAGUUCAGGGAUCAAUACAAUUUACUCAAAUUCAUCUUCUACGGAGAACCGGAUUAAACCUCUCACAAUGGGAAAAAAUCGAGUUCAAAUUCGAGGGGUUUUCUCAAAUUUAUGGUAUUCCAGAAUCUUUCAAGCGUGACCGUUCAUGAUCUCUUUUACCCUAUAACUUCUAUUGUGUCAACUUUAACACAAAAAUAAAAUAGUUAUCAGAUAAUGCCCUUGGUUGAAUGUUUCCUCAAUUUUCUCAGUUAACGAUACUCAUUGUGAAAGUUUGCCUGUUUUUUGACCUCAGUUUUUCGAACUAACAUUUUAACUGUUGAAACUAGGACGAAAAUGCAAUGACAAAAAUUAUUGGGAUAAACGUGAAACUCAUCAUAUAUCUUUUCAUUACUAGCAAUAAUAUACACUAAGAAGAUGAGGGUUUGAUUCCGGAACGCAAUACGUGAAGAGGAAUGCCCUAACUAGGGCAAUCCACAAGUUUGACCAAAGCAAAAAGAAGGGAAUUACAGAACAGGAACAACAUCAAUGACGGGAAAGGGAUAAUAGUUCGGAAUCAAUGACCACAUUAAACAAGGAAAGUCUCCCACAAUAUAUAUCUGAUUCCACAAUAUGAUGAACUUAAAUAACAACAACUAUAUUUUUGGAGGGAAGUAAGAGGAACCCAGUUCUUUACUUAUAUUUUGGGACACUUUACAAGGAAGAAAUGCAAGAAAAGGAUCAUGGUUGGCCCCAUCUCCGAAAGCCAAAAGGUCCUACAAAUGUACCAACUCCUAUAUAUAUGAAUGGGAGUAGAGUAAUCGGUCCCAUAACUAAAUAUUUUAAAUUCAGUUUUUUGCCCUUCAGCAACAAUGCAAAGGAGUGCCUCUUCCGUUUCUUCAACAAAGCAAAGAAGUGCCUCUUCCGUUUCUUCAACAAGCAAAGAAGUGCCUCUUUCGUUUCUUCAACAAUGCAAAGAAGUGCCUCUUCCGUUUCUUCAACAAUGCAAAGAAGUGCCUCUUUCGUUUCUUCAACAAUGCAAAGAAAGUGCCUGUCACGAAUUCUUCGUUUCUCAAAGAAGAAUGUGUUCCCAAGAAAGACGUAGUGCCAAGCAAGGUCAGGGGUAUGUGGAAUGGAGAUUGGCUGAGAUGAAGAAAAGAUCUGCUCUUAUUGUAGGCCUUCAAUUUGGGAACCAAAGCUUGGACUCCACAGAACUCGUCUUCGAGAUAUCUAUCUUCAACCCCUUUGAGUUCUAUCUCCCUGUCAGUCAGGCUUCUUUCAAAUUCAAAAGCGCCGGCAGGUAGGUUUUGAUCCACAUCUCCUUUUCACAUCCUCCGUCCUGGACACGUUCUUGUAUACAAUUGUUAUGUACCACUUCCGUCACAUAACUGUGUUGAAUAUGAAAAAGUAGUUGUGUAUAUCGAUUGUAUACAAAUGAUAGUUACUAGGUCAAAUGUCCGAUAAUAUAUAUAACAUGCCAAUAUAUGUCAAUACAGAAAUUUUUAAUGCAUACACAUUUGAAUAUGUUGAUUGUUUUCACUUCAUGUGUGGUGUAGCGAGGUCUUAACAGGAACAUUGAAAGAGUCCGCGUCACUGAAGCCCGGAGAAGAGUCCAUUAUGUUUGUGUUGGUGAAGGUGCCGUUAAGAGUGUUCAUAAACUUGGCAAAGGACAUUUCUGGAGAUGCGGACAUUAACUAUGAGAUCGAUUUGAGUAUCAAGAUUAAGCUUCCUAUAAUUGGGAACGUUGUAUCCUUACCAAUUCCUUGCGAAUGCCAACAGGGCGAACUCAAGCUUUCUCAUCUGUUUUCCAAAUUGUUGGACCAAAUCAAUCGUCAGCAGCUGGUGCCUUAAACAUGAAAUCUAGUUUCUAUAUAUUACAGGUCCCAUCCUAUACAUCUGGUAAAAGAAUUAUAAGAGGGAGGGUGGAGUCUUAAGGGUUUCUCCUUGUAACAGAACUAAUACUCAAUUUAUAAUCUUAUAGUAAGGCAAAAUCUUGGAUGCGACUCUUGCAGUACCCUCUUUUAUCUAUCUUCUAUCUCUCUUGUUCGGUGAAUGUCUUGUCCCCACAGGAUGCUUGUAACGCAAUUGUUUUAAGGCCUUCAAAUGUUUGUCAUUUUGAGGUUGUCACGAAAAGAAAGGAUGUCAAAUCUAAAUAGAUGUUUUGAGUUAGAUAACAUUUUCAAUAUCCAUUGAAAAAUGUUAUUGACACUCUAAAAAAUCAAUCUACACUACUUUUGAUAAUUAAAACUAAAAUACUUAUAAAGAAUGCAGUAUGAUUUUUUUAGAGUACCAAUAAUAUCUCAUAUCCACUAAUACAAAAACUUGAGAAAAUAUCUUUUGAAUCCACAUUUAGUUAAGAUCAAAUUUGAUUGGGUGCUUGACCAAAGAAAAAAAAAUGUUUGCUUGUGAAUUUGCACCGAGGUUUGCUGGCCAGUAGAUGCACAGGCAAGGUGUCCCAACAGAACCACCAGAGUACCUCCUCUGGUUUCAAACUCCAUGACAGAACUUUCAAAGUCCUGAUCACGUUAUUUUUCAACGAAUUUUCCCAAAAUCUUUAACGAAUGGUACUUUUUGCUCCAAAAAAGGAAACGCAAAAAACCCAACUCAAAAAUCAUUCUCUCUCGAUCAAAGAACUCAAACAUGGGUGGUCAGAUGAAGGAACAUCAACUCCAUCAGCCCCAUGGCUCAAGAAAUCUAGAAGAGGAAGUGGUGCCAAUAUUUUAUCCCAAGUCACUUCCCCGGAUAAGAAGAAUCAAAUCCUGUGGGAUUUCACUACAGUUGUCAUCCUCCAAAUUGCAGUCAUUGGCGUGCUCUGACUCACCGUGUUCCGAUUCCGAGAUCCUAAAGUCAAGCUGGCGGGAAUUUCUGUGGAGAAUAUGAGCAUGGUGGUCGGAACCCUGGCCGCGAUCAACACAUGACUCUAAGGGAAGAAAUUAAGGUGAACAAUGAGAACUGGGGUAGGCUUAAAUAUGACAAGAGUGUUUUGUUUUUUUCACAUGAGGGUGUGACACUUGGAGAAGCAACAGUUUCAAAAGGGUCUAUUGGGAUGAGGAGGAGCAAGGAGGUGAGCGCUUUGGUGGAGCGAUGGCGGUGGCGGCAGAAGCGGGGAGAUUGGCUCUGGGGUUUUGAAUUUGAAGAGCUAUAUGAAGGUAAGCGGGAACGUGAAAAUGGUGGGGAUGGUGAGGAAAAGAAGUGGUGGGAUGGAUUGCAGUUUGACUAUUAGUUUGUCCAGGCAGGCAAUCCAGGAAGUUCACUGCCAAUGAUUUCCAAGUUAAAAAUAAAAAAUUGGUGCUGCCAAAGUUCAUCCUUCAAAACAGAUGGUCUGGUUUGCAGUGAGGAUCGAAUCCACCACGGUUUGGAAAGCAAAAGUUCGAGAUUUGAAAUGUAUUCAAGGAAAAGACUGCGUAUAUUUGUUACACCAAAAACCUAGAUAAAAAUUCAAUUCAAUCUGAAACCAUUUACCUAUUUAAUUAUCAAGAUAAAAUUUCAUUGUUUCUUAUAUAACAAAAUAUUCGUUAACUUCUUUGAACUCAAUUAGAUGUCUGAAACAUUUCCGAUUUGGCUAAUAUUUUGCAAGGAUGAUCUAUAAGGUGCAACUUGAAAAAUAGACUGUUCGGAUCGUUAAAGUUCGAUGUGGUGUAGACCCUACAACUAAUUCUCAUUUUUAUAAAUAAAAAAAAAUAGGGAUCCUUCCCUUAAAUGUUUCCUUUAUAUAUUACAAAUUUUGUAUUUAUUCAAAUAUGAAGUUUACAGUUUGAGUCUUUACUUAUAGAAUUUUGUUAACUAUACCAAUUAAAGUUGCCUUUACAGAAAGAAAUUUUUCAAAAUUAAAGUUGAUCAAAUCUUAUCUUCCAUCAACUAUGUCACAAGAAAGAUUGAAUGGGUUAUGUAUUUUAUCAAUUGAAAAAUAAUUGGUUAAGAACAUUAGAUUACAUAAACUUACACACUUGUGUCUUACACAUUUGUGUCUAAAAACGUGAGAAGUGUAAUAUUUAAGUAAUGUUUGCAUAUAUUUCUUCUUUCGAUAUUAAUUUUUAAGAUAUUUAAUGUAGAAAUAGAACUUUUCGUGUAAUUAGUGAAUUUUUUUUAUACAUGUCAAUACAAAAGGUCGGGAGUUAGAGAACUCUAAGACCCCAUUUGAAAGGCUCGACUAAAGCCCUAAAUUCUCAGGCCAGCCCUGGUGGGAGGAUUAAUCUAGUUAAUGUGAUUACUUAGUGUGAUAUGAAGCAAUGUAAAUUAUGCUCCUUUUUGUUUGAUUUCUGUUUCUUAUUUUUUAAAUGUAAAUUGUCGUACAUGAGCUUCUCUGAGGAAAGGCAGGCCUGCAAGGUAAAGGGCCUGGCCUAGUUGGAUAAGCAAAAACACUCAUCCCAUUACUUCAAAUUUGAGGCCCAAAAGGUUGGACACAAGCCCGUCUCAUAGAAGAUGGGACCCUCUGGAUAGGGUUUUCUAUCACAAUCAAUAUAAUAUUUGGGCAAUUAUCAGGAACAAUAUUUUUUAACAUUCAGUUGUAAAAGCGAUCGAUUUUUAGUAGUGACGACAUUAUAUUAAUCAUAUAUCGAUGACUCAAAUAUGACAUAAUAGCCACAUAAUGAUGAUAUGUGUUUGUACCAUACUUGACCAAUCCCGAAACUACUGAGCACCGAUUAACGUUAUACCGUCAAGGACCCAAAAGAGUUUCCCUCCAACCAAGAGAGCAAUCACAGCGUGACACGUGUCGACAUCAGAAGCCAAUCAUAGCACGACACGUGUCAACAUCAGAAACCAAUCACAACACGACACGUGUCAAUGUCAGAAUGAAACUAGAAACUCUUUUCUAUAAAUAGAGAUCAUUCUCUCACAAUAUUUUCUAAUAUCAUUUGUACUAAAUCAUUCACUAGUACUCACUAAAGGAGAGCUUGAACCUAUGUACUUGUGUAAACCCUUCACAUUUAAUGAGAACUCCUUUACUCCAUGGACGUAGCCAAUCUGGGUGAACCACGUACAUCUUGUGUUUGCUUCCCUGUCCCUAUCCAUUUACAUACUUAUCCACACUAGUGGCCGAAACAAUCUAGCGAAGGUCACAAACUUAACACUUUCUGUUGUACCAAAGUCCUCACUAAUUUUGGGUAUCAACAUUUGGCGCCGUCUGUGGGAACGACACUUAUUCCCACUCUCUUCAGCUUUGUUAAGCUGGUUUCCACCAUUCGUACACUCUCUUUUGACCAGGCAUCUCUUUCUAACAUAGGGAGCGAAAGAAGCCACAUCACACAGAAUGACACCUCUCUUGCACCUGGUGCGAAGCAAUGAAAGAAGGAACAAAAAAAGUUUGCUCUUCAGGCUAAAGUUGAUGAGCUGGAGGCUCAGAACAAUAAGAUAAUGAUGAAGAAUGAGAUCCUCCAAGAGCAGUAUGAGAAGGUCUUCGAGAUGCUCCACAAGGCUAGAUAUACUAAAACACAUGAGCUCAUCACCCCUGUGGAAGUCAACCAUCAACUGGGUGCCCUCCAACAUGGAGGGUCAUUUGCCCUCGACAUGGGUAUUCCUGUUAAGGAACGAGCUACUCAUCAAAAUGGCGACCAACAUGAGACUUAUCUCAACCCAGCUACUUCGACCCGAAGCAGGAGGAGUGGAGGAAGGCAUCUCCUUACAGAAGGAGUGGAGGGAUGGAAAGCUAUCUUUCGCCACUGUCGAGACUUCCUAAAGCAUCGUCGAGACAAUCUUAUCCAGGUAAGCUCGAAGAUCAAUGACCCAAGGGUCUCUGAAAGACUCAGUCCCAUCCCAUGUCCCAAGCCGGCUACCAAUUUGGGGAAGGGACAACAAGUCCUAGAGAAACACAAAGGUAUAGGGGACUCAUAGAUGUUCCGACAGACAUACCUUAGAAGUCAGUACAGCGAGUCCAGGAAAAAAUCACAUGCACUUGAUUAAAUCUUCCUACUUCCAAGAGGAGAUGGAGAUUUACGAAAGAAAGCUCCAGUGGUACAUGACUCCACUCAGGACCCUCUUGUCCUACAACUCUUUAAGGAAGUAAACAAGUUGAAGGCCGAACGACAAGCUAAGAUACCUGAUUAGAACCAACCUAGGCCUGGCCCUCUUACAAAGAGGAUCCUCGACACCCCCUCCAAGCAAAGAUAAAGCAAAAGCUUGACUUGCAACUUUAUACUGGAAAAGAGGACCCGAUUGAGCACCUUAAACUCUUUGAGUCUGCCAUGGCAUAUCAGAUGCACACCGACGAAGAGCGAUGUCUUCUCUUCUCCUCUACCCUCUCUGGCGGAGCUUUAAACUGAUAUUGUCAUCUUCCACCUGCGAUGGUAGACUUAUUUGAGGAAUUGAGGAAACUGUUUGUUUCUCAACACAUUUUCCAGAUCGAUCGCUUGCACUCUGCGAAUCACUUGUACACUAUUCGCAGAAGCCAGACAAGUCAUUACGUAUGUAUGCUGGCCGCUUCAGCCAUGAGUAUUCUCGUUGUGUCGAGGCAGACGACAAGACUGCCCUCAAAGCCUUCACGGCAGGCCUACGUGACUGUUUCUUUAAGUACAUGAUCAAUGCCAACACUUGGAAGACUUACUCUGAGGUGAUGGCGCAAGCUUAUAACCAUGCCUCCGCCGAGGUAAGGACAUACUAAGAGAAACCCCCAACAACCAUCCUUUAUUAGCAAGUGGGGAGUGGAAGCCAGACCCACCCAAAUGAGAAGACCUUAACCUUCCAAACGGCAGCAGUGCCUCCUUCUGCCUUACUUAAUACUUUGCCAAGUCAACAGACAUAUCAAUCUCAGGGCAAAAGGAAAAAUUCUCAUCCUCACCAGUCUCAUUUUAGUAAAAGGGGUAAGGGACAUUAUCGCAAUAACCAAGGGUAUCGCCACGAUAAUGCCCUUCCCCAAGCAGUCAACACAGUGGGCCAAGCACGUGUCAGGACAGGCCCUACCCCGAGGUAUAAGACAUACACACCUUUGAACGCCACAUACGUGGCCAUUUACCUCAGCAUAGCACACCUGAUACCGAAGCCAAUGCCGAGGCAAUCAAGUUACAAGCCCACAAAGAACAUGGGCACGUUUUGCUGCUACCACGAGCAUAACGGCCAUGAUGACAAGAAAUGUAUCACCCUUCGUGAUCAUAUUGAAGGUUUGACACGUGAAGGAAAAAUUGAUCGAUUCCUCCUUCACCCUCCAAUGGGUAACCGUAACCAACGCUAGGUGAAUGUGAUAUAUUCCAUAAGUGAUGGCACACCCAUAUCUAAAUCUUCCAACAUGGCCAUGAAAAAUAGUGAACGAGCUUUAAGGUCUGGCCACCAAGUGUUUCACGUGGAAGACAUCAGGGGAGGCAAGUAUCAAAAGCCUAAUUGGGAUCCAAUAUGUUUCUACCCUGAGGAAGAAAAAGGUAUCAUUUACCCUCAUAACGACCCACUGAUCGUGGAAGCUCACAUAGCCAACUUUGAAGUACGACGAAUCCUGGUAGACACGGGGGCUUCGGUCAAUAUCAUGUUUGCUAAAGCUUUCAGGGCACUUAAUGUAGCUGAACACUUGCUCGAUCGCUUGAUUUCUCCUCUGAUAAGUUUCUCCGGUGAUAUCAUGCAACCUUUGGGGACUAUACACUUACCUUUCACCAUUGGUACAGGCCCUUACACAGCUACCAUUACCAUUAACUUCCUGGUGGUUGAUUGCCCAACGGCAUACAAUGUCAUCUUCGGACGCACAUGCAUCAAUGAUCUCAAGGCCAUGGUAUCCACACAUAUGUUGUUGAUGAAAUUUCCAACCCCUAUGGCAAUGGUUACAUCAGAGGAGAUCAACUUAGUGCACGAUCACGUUACAACACUUCGGUCAAGCAACAACACCUGUUUGUGCCCAAGGAAACCUUUUCUAUACAUGACCAAGUCAUAAAGACCAGCCCGGACGAAGUUAACUUGGAUCUUCACAGUGGCAACAGUCAACUCGACGAUCCUCGGGAUGACUCUUUCACCCAGCAAGCACAACCUGCUAAAGAGCCGGAGAAGGUUUCUAUGUCAAAAGAUUAUCUAGAUCGCAUGGUAAAGAUUAGCACCACCUUGUCACCACCUAUUCGGUUGGCAUUGAUCUCUUUUUUGCAAGAGAACACUAAGGUCUUCACCUGGUCAUACAAGGACAUGCCAGGCAUAUCUCCUGAUAUCAUAUGUCAUCGCUUAAGUAUUAACCCCAAGACCAAGCCGGUGAGACAGAAGCAAAAAUCUUAUGACGCUGAACGAUACGAAGCAAUGAAGGCAGAAGUUGAAAAACUCAAAGGCAUAGGCUUCGUUCGCAAAGUCAAUUACCCAACAUGGGUAGCAAAUGUGGUUCUUGUUAAGAAAAAUUUGACCAAAGAAAGUCUCUUGCUCCAAAAGGUCUUGUGGAGAAUGUGCAUCGACUACACCAACCUAAACAAAUGAUGCCCAAAGGAUAGUUUUCCUCUUCCUCUCAUUGACAGACUUAUAGACUCUAUGGCAGGGUGUGAACUCUUGAGCUUCAUGGAUGCUUGCUCAGGAUACAACUAAAUCCUCAUGAACCCUCUGGACCAAAAACACACAGCCUUCACUACUGACAGGGGACAAUAUUGCUAUAAAGUCAUGCCCUUCGGCCUAAAGAAUGCAGGAGCGACUUAUCAAAGAUUAGUCAAUUCAAUGUUCGCCGAACAGAUUGGGAAAAGCAUCGAAGUUUACGUUGAUGAUAUACUAGUCAAAAGCAAACAUGCUGACCAACACAUCGCUAACUUAUCUGAAACUUUCACCAUUUUGAAGAGGUAUCAAAUGAGGUUGAACCCCAACAAAUGUGCCUUCGGCGUAGGCUCUGGCAAAUUCUUAGGCUUUAUGAUAAGCCAACGAGGCAUUGAGGCUAAUCCCAAGAAGAUCAAAGCAAUCUUCGACAUGAAGGAACCGGUAAUUUCAAAAGACAUCCAGUGCCUUACUAGCAAAGUGGCAGCCUUAACUAGGUUUAUCUUUAAGGCCAUAGACAGAUGUGCUCUUUUCUUCAAAACACUUAAGGGAAGUAAGAAGUACAUUAUAUGGACUGAUGAAUGUGCCGAGGCAUUCAAGAACCUCAAAGACUACAUGAGUAAAGCCCUUUUGUUCCAAACCUGAGGUUGGUGACACUUUCAUUAUCUAUCUGUCAGUAUCGGCUUCAGCAGUAAGUUCCGUUCUCAUUCGAAAUGAUAGUAAUGUUGAACGGCCUGUCUACUACGAUAGCAAGGCCUUACAAGAUGCAAAGACACGAUACUCCAACAUUGGCUCUAGCAUUGGUUAUGUAUGCUCGAAAACUUCGCCCUUACUUCUAAGCACACUCCAUCAUCGUGCUUACCAAUCAUCUUCUUCGACAGAUACUCUAAAAUUCUAACACUUCAAGGCGAAUGAUAAAAUGGGCGAUAGCAUUAGGUGAGUAUGACAUCUUCUACCAACCAAAGCCAGCUAAGAAGGGCCAAGUAGUGGCAGAUUUCAUCGCCGACUUCACAUAUCCUGUUGACAUUGUUUAUACACCUAAAGAAGUGGUUUUAUUACCCUCGGAAGCUCAUAAAAUAGAACCAACAGCCCCAGCAUGGAGUCUAUAUGUUGAUGGCUUGUCCAACCAACAGGGUUGUGGAGCAUGACUGGUCCUUACGACCCUUGACAAAGUGGCGAUGAAGUAUGCUCUUCAUUUCAAAUUCAAGGCGUCGAAUAAUGACGCAGAAUAUGAAACCCUCAUAGCAGGCUUACAUUUGGCCAAACACCUUGGGGUUAAACGAAUUGGUAUCUUCAGUGACUCCCAAUUGGUGGAUAACCAGGUCACCAACAACUUUAAAGCUAAGGAUAGCUCCAUGGUAGCAUAUCCGGCACAAACACAAUUGUUGCUUAAGCACUUCCACUACCAGAUCACCCAAAUUCCUCGAGCGGCAAACAAUCAUACAGAUGGUUUGGCUCGCCUCGCCUCAGUGGUGGAAGACAAAAUUGGGAGAAAAAUUCAGGUCGAAUUGUUGGCAGCACCAAGCACCAUGGUUGCAGAAGUGUGCAACUUACAACAGAUGGAUAGUUGGAUUACCCCGAUUUAUAGAUUCCUUGCUCAUGGCACCCUUCCAAAUGACAAAGUCCAAGCUAAGCAUAUUCGAUACAAGGCUACUUGUUACUUGAUCAUUAAUGACCAGCUCUACAAGCGGGGUUUUAACCUACCAUACCUAAAAUGCCUUACGCCUACAGAGGCAGAAAUUGUCCUUCGGGAAAUACAUGAAGGAGUUUGCAGAGAUCAUGCUGGAUCUCGAUCCCUAGCACACAAGGCUUUUCACCAAGAUAAGUGUCAACGCUACGCAACUAUUUCUCACUCCCAUCCCGAGCCGCUCAUUCCUAUAUUCAGCCCUUGGCCCUUCGCCCAAUGGGGACUUGAUUUGAUCGGCCCAAUGCUUGCAGGGAAGAGUAAGGUUCGUUAUGCAAUCGUUGCAGUUGACUACUUCACAAAGUAGGCUGAAGUAGAACCCUUGGCAACCACUACUGAGGCAAAAAUAGAAGACUUCAUAUGGAAGAACAUCCUUUGUAGAUUCGGCAUUCCCAAUGCGAUAGUCACUGACAACGGGCGACAGUUCAACAACAAUAAGUUCAGGAUGUUCUGCUCUAAGUUCAACAUCAACUUAUGUUUUGCCUUCCCAACUCAUCCCCAAUCUAAUGGACAAGUCGAAGCCAUCAACAAAAUAAUCAAGCGAACUUUGAAAACCAGCUUAGACAAGGCUAAAGGUUGUUGGCCAGAAUUUGUACCCCAAGUUUUUUGGUCAUAUCGCACUUCGUAUCGAACAUCAACAGGAGAAACCUCAUUCUCACUUGCCUUUGGUACAAAGGCAGUUGUCCCAGUUGAGCUUGGGCAAGCAACGUUCUGAGUCCAGAACUACGUGCAAAGAAAAAAUGACAAACAAGUUACCCUCACCUUAGAUCCAGUCGAGGAACACAGAAACCAGGCUCACUUGAGGAAUGUCGCCUACUAGCAGCACAUCUCCAACUACUAUGACUCAAGGGUCAAACCUCGUUCUUUCAAAGUGGGGGACUAGGUAUUGAAGAAAAUAUUACUCUGUGAUAGAGUCCCAAGUGAAGGAACACUUAGUCCAAACUGGGAUGAACCGUUUGAAGUUGUUGGCAUCAGUCACCUUGGUUCCUACAAGCUUAGAAGCUCUUAUCGCAAGACCCUAGGCCAUCCAUGGAACGCUGAUCACUUGAAGUACUAUUACAAGUAAACUCACAUUGUACAAGUGUUAAGCUUCAGUCGUUCGGCAUCCUAUGUAACGAAGACUAUUUCGCAUGAAUUCAAUAAAAAGGUGAUUUAGACAACUUGGUCCUAAUCCUCUUACAUUCCUAGCAAUGAAACACUCGGGUUCAAAGCUUCAACAUGAAUGUUUCCAACAUGAAACAAAGUCUAAGUAUAUGUCAAUAAGACUAAACCAAUAAAUGAACAGUUUCACAGUAUAUUCGUUCAAUCAUACAUUCCAACACAUUCAAACAUAAGCCAACUGUACUUUGAAAAGGUUCAACAUACUUUGUGUCAUUCGACACUUGCUACAAUGUGCCUCGACACCUUGCCCUUAUUCUCACUAACCAGGUGAUGAAAUGUACAACCUGUGCUCUCCUUCAUGCCACCAACCAGGUGAUGAAAUGUACAACCCGUACUCUAAUAUCAUUUGGCAACUUGCCAUUCAUGCCACCAACCAAGUGAAGAAGGAACUCAUCUUCAUGCCACGAACCAGGUGAUGAAAUGUACAACCCGUACUCUCCUUUAUGCCACCAACUAGGCUAUGAAUUGUACAACCUAUACUCUAAUAUCAUUUGGCAACUUGCCAUUCAUGUCACCAACCAGAUGAAGAAUGAACCCAUCUUCGUGCCACCAACCAGGUGAUGAAAUGUGAUGAAAGGUGAUAAAGGAACUUACCUUCGUACCACCAACCAAGUGAUAAAAGCAACUCACCAUUCAUUCCACCUACUAGAAGAUAAGUGGUGCAACUUGUACAUGUGAACUCCUAGCAUUCACAAAUAAUCAAAAACCCUCAAGCUUGACAACUCAACUAGGGGAGCACUUAUGCCCAACAAGAGUUAUAGUCACCAACAAAGUCUUAUUGCAAGCCAACAACAACUUCAGUGCAUGGCAUACGAAAAUCAAGCUAUUCAACCCUCUUGCAUCUGCUUCAGACAUUUCUCUUCUGUAACAAUGCAAACACUACAACUCGUAGAAAGCUUCACACACUCUUGAUCAAGACAGUGUGAAGCAAAACCAAUUUAUGGUGCCAACAAGAGCUUCAUCAAAGGAGUUCAACCACAAUUCUCAAAAGCUUCACACACUCUUGAUCAAGAUAGUGUGAAGCAAAACCAAUUUAUGGUGCCAACAAGAGCUUCAUCAAUGGAGUGCAACCACAAUUCUCAAAAGCUUCACACAUUCUUGAUCAAGACAGUGUGAAGCAAAACCAAUUUAUGGUGCCAACAAGAGCUUCAUCAAUGGAGGGCAACCACAAUUCUCAAAAGCUUCACACACUCUUGAUCAAGACAGUGUGAAGCAAAACCAAUUUAUGGCGCCAACAAGAGCUUCAUCAAAGGAAUUCAACCACAAUUCUCAAAAGCUUCACACACUCUUGAUCAAGACAGUGUGAAGCAAAACCAAUUUAUGGUGCCAACAAAAUCUUCAUCAAAGGAAUUCAACCACAAUUCUCAAAAGCUUCACACACUCUUGAUCAAGACAGUGUGAAGCAAAACCAAUUUAUGGUGCCAACAAAAACUUCAUCAAUGAAGGGCAACUACAACUCACAAUGAAGGGCAACUACAACUCGUAGAAAGCUUCACACACUCUUGAUCAAGACUAUUCGAAGCAAAUUAAAUUUAUAUGGUUCAUCCAAACCUUCGACUACUACAAGGUGUGGCUUGCAUCAUAAUCUCUUGCUCAACAGUGUGGAAGCAAAAUUUGUAUAUGUUGUCUCUCCCACAUUUUCAAAUUUCUAGUUUCCCAAAAAAAAAAAAGGAAAUUCAACAAAGCUUCAUCAAUGGAGGACAACUACAAAUUCUAAAAAGCUUCACACUAUCUUGAUCAAGAUAGUGUGAAGCAAAAUCAAUUCAUGUUACCCAAAAAAGCUUCACCACAAAAGCUUCAUCAAUGGAGGACAACUACAAAUUCUCAAAAGCUUCACACUAUCUUGAUCAAGAUAGUGUGAAGCAAAAUCAAUUCAUGGUACCCAACAAAAACUUCAACUCCAAAGCUUCACUUAUAAAGCUUCAACUCCAAAGCUUCACCUACAAAAGCUUCAACACAAAAGCUUCACCUAUAAAGCUUCAACUCCAAAGUUUCACCUACAAAUCUUCAACUCCAAAGCUUCACCUACAAAAGCUUCAUCUAUAAAGCUUCAACUCCAAAGUUUCACCAACAAAGCUUCAACACAAAAGUUUUACCCAUAAAAACUUCACCCACAAUAGCUUCAACCAUAAAAGCUUCACCAACAAAAGCUUCACCCCCCACAAAAGCUUCACCCACCAUAAAAGCUUCACCUACAAAAGUUUCACCCACAAAAGCUUUACUUACAAAAGUUUCACCUACAAAGCUUCAACACAAAAGCUUCACCUACAAAAGCUUCACACUAUCUUGAUCAAGAUAGUGUGAAGCAAAAUCAAUUCAUGGUACCCAACAAAGCUUCAACCACAAAGCUUCACCUGCAAAGCUUCACCUAUAAAGUAUAUAUAUAUAUUUUUUUUUUUUUUUGAAAAUUCGAAAAUUCAGAAAUUUGAAAAUUCGAAAAUUCAAAAAAAAUUAAAAUUCAAAAAAAAAAUUGCAUAAGCCUCAUCUUCUUUGGGCCUAACAACUUUCAUAACAAAUAUAUAUGAAGGUGGAGUUUUGGGCUACCACUUAGAAAGGAAAAUGGUGAAGUUUUGUUACUUUGGAAACUUGGCUAUUAGCAAGACACCUUCAUCAACUCUCUCGACCGGAGACUUGGGGGACUCAUACCAUAUGCUACUGCACCUUGAUACUCGGAAGUCUCACGACCACUCAAUGACUUGGAUUUUUUCAAGUCUCCAACCAAGAAGUUUUCCCCACUCGAGAAAUUAAGGGAGUAUUACCUCAACACACAUGUUUCGCUCACAAAGCUUCAACAAAAGAAAAAAAUUCAAAGCACUUAGUAAAAAAGGCUUUGGUGUAUUUAACACAAUACGUUGAAAUGAAGUAAAGUUUAUUUAUUGAUAUCUCCGAUAAGUUACAAUAUGUACAUAUACAUGAAUCAAAAUAAACAAACAAGAUGGAGCAUUCACAAAGGUUGCUCAGGGAAAGUCUCAGCAGUCGGCAAAGCCCCAUAAAGAUAAGGCACCGGAGGGUGACCAUUCGAAGCCUCAGUACUAGACAGAACCCCAAAAGGAUGAGGCAUCAGAGGUUAAUCAUUUGGAGCUUCAUUACGUGGUACAGCCCCAGAAGACGAAGACGAUAAAUGCCUUUGGAACAAACCCACAAACCUCUGAUGAUCAAGUAAAAUUUGACCAUCAGAUCCUGCAGCUGGUCAAGCUUCCUCUUCAUGUUUGUAGCAUAGUCAUGUGCGAGUCUGUGCAACUGUUUAUUCUCAUGCUUGAGCCCUCUAAUCUCUUGUUUGAAACUUAUCACUUCAGCCGCCAAUGAUUCAACUUGGCGAGUUCGAGCAAAUAGGCGUUGGGCCAUAUUAGACACAUAACCUGCACACUGAACACUGAAAGCCAGAGAAUCCUUAACAGCCAACUCAUCAGACCGUUUGGAAAGUAGUCUGUUAUCUUUGGGAGUGAAAAGGUUCCUGGCCAUCACCGCAGCAGUUAUAUCAUUCUUCAUCACAGAGUCCCCAAUGGUAAGAUGACCAGUAGGGGAUAAGAAGGAUGGGCGCCAUAUGUUGUCUUGAGGAGAUAUAGUUGCCUCUUCACCAAAGUUGAAGUCAAAACGACGGUCAGAUGGGCCAGACAUUUUCAGAAAUGCUGAAGAAGAAAUGAGGUCCAAUAAAUCUCUGAAGUACAAAAAUAAGGGGAAAAUUCCUACAAGCAAUGACUCUCUGAAUGUACUUUUUACACACAAUUGGUGCCCUUAUAAAAGAAAUGGCAACAGGGUCGUUGGUUCAAAAAUCGAAGAGGCACCACUCUUCAAAUUUCGAAGAAGCACCAUUCUCCACACCCAACAUCAACUCAUUGGGUACCACAUAUAACUUUGCCAAAGAUCCCUGACAAAGUUUAGACACAUAAAUUUUGAAGAUCCAGCUACCCUAUUAUUACCCACAAGGGUAAAGGAACAGCACCACUGCUUGAUAACUGGAAAGUCCUUAUGUGUGUCAACCUCCGUGCUCCGUGACAAGGCAGACUGGCAAAAGUGCCCAACCUUUACUCGCAUUCGAGAAAACACUCCUAACAAGAUUGUUUGCUCAAAAAUUGAAGAGGCACCGCUCUCCGAAUCUCGAGAGCCAGACUCCCAACAGGAUUACUUUUUCAAAAAUUGAAGAGGCACCGCUCUUCGAAUCUCAAGAGCUAGACUCCCAAUAGGAUUGCUUUCUUAAAAAUCGAAGAGGCACCAUUCUUCGAAUCUCGAGAGCCAGAUCCCCGACAAGAUUGCUUGUUCGAAAAUGGAAGAAGCAUCGUUCGAACUUCGAGAGCCAUAUUUCCUUGGAUAAAGCUUGUCUGCAAUCUUCACACGCAACAUCAGCUUUCCAGAUACCACAGACCACUUUUUCAAAGUGCUCUGACAAAGUUAAAACACGUGAAGCUUGCAGCUCCCAAUACAUUGAUAUGACCAAGAAGGGUAAAGGAAUAACAUUACUACUUAUUGUUAGGAAGACUCUUAUAUAUGUCGACAUCCAUUCUCCACAGAAAGGCAAACCUGGAAAAAUGUUCAACCUUUCCUCAUAUCUGAUAAGGCACUCCCAAUGAAGCCUCUCGAAAUACCCAGUUUUCUUCCCCCCCCCCCCCAAAUAAUACCUAUGCAAACCAGCCACACCAGAGCAAAAGUAUCUCAUAUCAUCAGGGUCAAAAGUAAAAGUAUCCCAUAUCAUGCUUUUUCCCUAUCUUUUUGUUUACCUUUGUUCUUACCUGCAAGACAAGAAGAAAGAGAACAAUCAGUCAACACUUGGAAUCAAGCUUCCUGUCAGGAACUGACUGCUUGGAACCCCUUGACUAAUUACUUACCUGGCAUUGCUCUCAAGUACUCAUCUUCAACAUCUUAUGCUUCUAAAAAAGAUACCACAUAUGCUUGAGGAACAGAUAGGGCAAGUGAAAAGGAUACAAGGAAGCAUGUGAAGACAAGCGCAACAGAACACGUGUCGAUUCAUCUAUUACUUCGUCAACAGCAAAAGUAUCCCAUAUCAUCAAGGUUGAACGCACUCUUAAUUUGAUGGACUUGUUUUGACCCUCAAAUUCUUGAGUCGGCCUUAUACUCUGGAGGAAACUAGAAAACCCUUCAGCCCAGUUCAAGAAUAAGCAUGUGGAAAGUUACUUCUUCAAAAGUAAAAGUAUCUCAUAUCAUCUUUUCUCCAUUUGCUUCUCAUUAUCCUUGUUGCUGUUUACGACACAAGGAGAAUGAGAACAAUCAACCAGAAGCUGAAGUCGAACCUCUGAUCCAGGUUGCUUGCUUAGAAGUCUGAUUGCUUACAUUGUCUGUUACCUUCUUCGGCAAAUCUCCUAGCUCGGCGACUUGGGGGACUCCUACUAUAGGGUUUGUAUUGCACUUGACCAAGCCCGAAACUACAAGUAAACUUCAAGUGAAAUUGAUACAUUACCUUGUGCAUUUUCAUCGGUUAAAGAUACCACCCCCUAGAUGGAGGAAAAGUACUUCGAGAGAAGAUGCCACAUCUACAUAUGAGACAGAUAAGGCAAGUGAAAAUGAUACCACACUUCGGUACUUAGAAGUUUCGUGGUUACUCAAUGGCUUGGAUCUUGCAAGUCCCCAACCGAGGAGCUUCCCUCACUCGAAAACUUAGGGGAGCACUGUUUGUACCAUACUUGACCAAUCCCAAAACUACUGAGCACCGGUCAACAUUAUACCAUCAAGGACCCAGAAGAGUUUCCCUCCAAAGAGGAGGCCAAUUACAACGUGACACGUGUCGACAUCAGAAGCCAAUCACAACACGACAUGUGUCAAUGUCAAAAUGAAACUAGAAACUCUCUUCUAUAAAUAAAGAUCAUUCUCUCACAAUAUUUCCUAACGUCAUUUGUACUAAAUCAUUCACUAGUACUCACUAAAGGAGAGCUUAAACCUAUGUACUUGUGUAAACCCUUCACAAUUAAUGAGAACUCCUCUACUUCGUGGACGUAACUAAUCUGGGUGAACCACAUACCUUUUGUGUUUGCUUCCCUGUCCCUAUCCAUUUACAUACUUAUCCACACUAGUGACCGGAACAAUCUAGAGAAUGUCACAAACUUAACACUUUCUGUUGUACCAAAGUCCUCACUGAUUUUGGGCAUCAACAAUAUAACAACAUAAUAAACACUCAUAAUUUAUGUAACCAACUGUAAAAAACUGAUCAUCCCCGCUAAUUGCAUGUAUAAUUUUAGUAGUGUUAUAUGUUUAAUAAAUUUUUUUCACAUGUUUCAUAAAUGAACCACCUAUCCAGUAGGCACUUGCUCAAAGGCGGAUCUAUUAAGCGACUUGGGUGGUUUUGGGACCAGUGGAAGUCCAAAAAAUGGUUGUGAGGAUGUUGGAGGAUCACCCAAGUCCAAGGAGGAGAAAUACCAACAAUGGCUUGCCAAAGGACUUUCCAAAAGAUAUCAAGCCAUUAAAAAAAAUUAAAGACACGUGCAGCACAAAGGAGAUUUAAACUCAAAGUUUUCUAUGUUAUCCCUGAUUACUAUCCUAGAUUUAGGGGUUCGACGGAUAAGUCGACUAGAGCCUCACUCCAAGUCUCCUUAAUCUCACAGUUUGUCUCUAAACCUGGUUAUGGCCUUUUUUUGGUCUCUUGUUUGUCUGCUUUACUUUGUCUUGGGGGUGUGGCGCAUGGAGAUAAGAUCUUCGUUAGAUCCUCUUUAUGAGGAUCUCGGGAAUCUUUCAAUCAUAUCUAUUUCUCGUGCAUCGUGUGACCAAUUUUCGUCAGUGGUCGUGCAAUAAACAAGCCGAUGUGGUUGCGAUGGUUGCAGCAAAAAAGAAACUCGAUCUUCCUUCAAAGAAGGCUGCAACUAUUGCGGCUCCUUUAGCCAAAAAGAUAACCAUUUUAACCCCAGUAGUGGCCACUGCUGUGUCGAUUGCACCGAGCAAACGACCUCGCCCAGAGGCCGGGACAACUGGUAACUUUGCCUAGCCCAAAAAAAGUAUCAAGAAAAAGGCAAAGAAGGGAGAGCGGGAGAUUCAUGUUAUUUCAAGUCAGACCACAUGAACGACCACUCUUAAUAUCCCUCUCUCUUCUCCUGUUUCCAGGUCUCGACAACGGUACUGCAAGACCUUUCGACCCCAACAAUGGGUCAGUCGACCAUGGUUUGACCAACCACGUAAGUCGUUGUUGAAGUUGAACCAGUCGUCGCCCUAGUGGUAGAGGAAUUUGCAACUCCGGGGCCAGGCGUUGCCCUUGUUGAUGUCAGCCCAGCAGCCAUUACUCUAGAGAAGGCGGCCACAACGGCCGAAACAAACCUUUCCCCCAAUCCAAAGAAAAAUCUAGUGAUCGUCCUGGAGGAAGAAGUAUAACAAUUUCCUUUAAUAAUGUUCUUCUUUCAUUUUGACUGGAUCUCUCGACUAACAAACAAUCAUCUUUCAUGAACAAGAGAAUAAGAGUGAAGUACCAUUGCUAAUGAUGCGCCAUCAACGAGUUGAACCACCUACUAUAAGUCCCUUGCCUCUGGACAAAAGCAAAGGUGUUGCAUCCUCUUUGGGUGAUCUCCAACCGACGGUCGAGGUGGCUGGCCAGGUCGACCCCCAAUUGGUCGAAGUUUGUUCAGGGCAUGAAGUGGCACCUUCUGUUGAACCAGAAGCAACGACAAAUACGCCAGUUCAUCGCCAAGACCAAAACCUCAGCAUCCCUCAUCAGAAGGUCACUUCGACCUUUGUAAGACUCAUCAUCAUUUUCUUUUAUUAAUUUCCUGUCUUAGAACUCUAAACCAAGAAAAACAUUAAAUGUCAGGUAGAGGCUGUAUCGCUGGCGAGGGAUUAUUCUUUAGAAGUAGAGGCUGCUUGGGUUGUUCGGCAGGUCUAAUAUCAUGGACUUUAUUAACCAGAACUUCGAGCAAUCUGUUGUGCACAUCGAUAUUAUCAUGUAUCUCUUCAAGUAUGCUUUUCACCUCUUGGCUGAACAUUUGUUCAAACUGCUGGGACUGUUCUUCAAAUCGCCGCCGAAGAAAAUAUUUAAAUGAUGGAUCAGAGGCCUCAUCAUUGUCGUUGUCAUAAGCCUCUACCAGUCCUUCAACAAAAACGACUUUUGUCAUUUUUGUGGGGAUUUCUGCAUCAUAAGUUUGACCGUCGAGAUUUACAUCAUUUUCUCAGAGUGUUGUACUUGAGACUUCAUGUGUUACGGCAGUAGGUGUUGCUAACUACGUCAUUCAGUUGUGCACAGGGCAUGCCAACUCGUCAGCAGAGUUCGGCUGGGAAGUAAAAUAUGGUGAUGUAGCGUUGGGCGAGCUGCUGACUUCCUGAUCUUGUGACUGCGGUCGAGGAAGAAACACAUCUCAACCUCCGGGUUCUAAAGCCUAAAGACAAGGUUGCUAGUUUCUUCGAAGUUCACAAAUCGUCAGCGCCAAGUUUGGUCUCGGUAAUUACAUUUGUGAGAGUAUAAGUACACCGAACUGGCACCAGAUUGUACAAACACAAAUACUCGAAAGAGAUAAAUUUAUUGAUUGUAAAUGUGGUUUGGUCGUCAGAAUACCGAACUCUAAAAUGUACUUGCAAAUAUCCAAUCAUAAAACUCGGCUUUCAAUGUGCCAAGCCUAGUAACCUGGUAACACCUCACUUCACUGAGAAAGCUGAUGAAAUGACCUCUACCAACAAGGACUCGGAAAUCCUUGUUGACCGAGACUUGGAUAAAUAACCAAUCGAUCUCGAAGCAGUGUUGUUUAUCCAAACUGAAUGUGCUCUUUGGUGGACUGAUUAUAUGGCUCCAGUGUUGUUUAUCCAAAAUGAAGAUGUCGCUGAUUGCCUUCAUAGUGCUGUAUAUCCAAACUGAAGAUGUGUUGAUGAGAAGAAAGAGAAAGGGAAAAAAAAUCUCAAGGUUGUUGAGAAGCUUUGCGCAGAGUAAUUUGUGUAAGGAUUUGAAGGGCUUUGAAUGAUGCACUCCUUUCUCUAUUUAUAGCAACGAACCCCCCUCAUGGUCGAACUAAAAAUGUACUCGGAUUAGAACUCUUCAACCCAAACUGAUUAGGUUUCAGCCAAUCCUAACCCCUAUAGGACUUUGAACCAAGUUCCUUAACGAACUAGAUUCAUCCCUAAUUCUAAGCAUCUUCAGCUUUUAAGACUCCUUGUUGCACUAGGGUUCGACUACCUCACCCUUAUCUAAACCAAUCCUUCUAGCAAGAGAAUUCGACAGACCUUGACUAGACAGCUCAUGACAAAAUUUUAGAUGAAUGUUACUAGGCCGAGAACAACUCUAAGCUCGGCCCCAAAAAUUAUUUUGGGCCCAAACAGGUACAGUUUAUAUUCAAUUUUAAAUAAAAAAAAUUACAAUAAUUUAUGAUCGCACGAUGUACGAUAAACGAAUGUGAUUUAAGAAUUCCCGAAAUCUUCACAAAGAGAAUCCAUCGGAUCCUCACUCCACACGUACCUUCCUGUACCACUGUAACUUUGGAGGUUUUUCCUCUCUUUCAAUAUAUCUUGGUACUCUUCGACCAUAAAAAAAAAGGACAAGGAUUGUCUGCCUUCCCACUUCUGGUGCCUUCCCGUGCCCUCCUGUUUUGUAUGGUCACGGUUAAACCACGUCAACAUUUUAUAUUUUUUUUAUAGAGAUAAUAAGAUAAAAAUGAAUAGUAAUAUAAAAUAUUAACGUGCAUUAACCGUGACCACACAAACAGAGGGCACGAGAGGACACCAGAAGUGGAAUGACCUGGCAACUUCUGUCCAUUUAAAUAGCAUAGAACCAAGGAAGAAAAUAUCGAUAAUAUCGGCGAAAUAUCGCCGAUAUUAUCGUUUUUUUGGAGAUCCGAAAUUUUUUUAACCAUCCAAAUGAUUUUCAUCAAAAUAUCGCGAUAUUUUCGAUAUUAUCAAUAAUAUCACGACAUAAUACUAAAAUAUACUUAAAUAUGUUGAUAAAACUCAACACAUACUUCACUUGAUCAUAGCCCAAAGGCCGAACAAGCUUGGAUUUUCUAGCAGGGGGGAUGUGGGUUUUAUAGGAAAAUUUGCUUGCUCACUGCCCUCACAUGGGCGAUGUGGGACUCGCCCAGUGGGAGAGAAAAUCAGAAUUUUCGGUCGAAAAUUUACACCCACUUUAAACAGCCAUAACUUUGUCAAAACUCAACGUAAUCAAGCAAGACAAAAACGAAAGUUGUAGCCCUCGAAGAGACGAAGAGAAUGGUACCUCACACGACAUCUGAAUCGUCGUGGUUUGGCCGGAAAAUUCCUCGAAAGUCACUGAGGUCGCCGGAAACUGGGUAAGAUUCAAAUGAGUAUAACUUUUUCAAUACUCAACGAAAUUGAGUGAAACAAAAAGGAAAGUUGUACUAAUCGAUGAGACGAAGAGAUUGAUACCUUGAACGCCAGCCAACUCGCCGUGGUUUGGCCGGAAAUUGUCUCGAAAGCCACUGAGGUCGCCGGAAACUGGGUAAGAUUCAAAUGAGUAUAACUUUUUCAAUAAGCAACGAAAUUGAGUGAAACAAAAAGGAAAGUUGUAGCCCUCGAAGAGACGAAGAGAAUGGUACCUCACACGACGUCUGACUCGUUGUGUUUUGGCCGGAAAUUUCCUCUAAAGCCACUGAGGUCGCCGGAAACUGGGUAAGAUUCAAAUUAGUAUAACUUUUUCAAUACUCAACGAAAUUGAGUGAAACAAAAAGGAAAGUUGUACUACUCGACGAGACGAAGAGAUUGAUACCUUGCACGCCAGCCAAAAUUCAAUUGACACACUCCUGGCUUCCAAAAUUCAAUUCUUUUACUUUAUAUAAACUUGAAAAAACAUAAUCGGCAUCCAAAUUAAAGUUUAGUCUUAUUCAAUGUAUUGAUUUUCAAUCGUUAAUUGAUAUACUAUAAUUUGGAACUUCAACGCCUAGACGCAUGCUUAUGUGUAAGAAAUUUAAAGUGUCAAAUUCGGCACAUUAUUCUUCAUCAUUUUAUUCACUUCCUUUUUUUUUUUUUUUAAUAUCCUAAAUAAAACCUCCAAAUAUUGUACUAAUUAAUUAUAUAUAAAUGAUUAUGGUGUGUUUAAACUUCUUUCAUUAAUUACUACAUAUUUUCUACACUCACAAUGUUUGCCAGCUCGCUAUAUAAUCAACUUAAAUCAGUUAAAUCCAUCAUGCAAUGCAUUUCCUUCCAAUUUUUUGUGAUAAACUAAUAGAUAAUUGACUAAAUAAACAUCCUACAAAGUUUCAUUAAAAAUUUCCAAGUUUUUCUUACAAUUUCCGUGGUUUCCAUGUAAUUUUUAUCGAUAUCGAUAUUAUCCCGAUAUUUCCAUCGAUAUUUCCGUGUUUUCGGACUACCGAUAUUUCCGAUAUUACCGAUAUUUUCUUCCUUGCAUAGAACCACGUGAAAUCACAUUCAACUCAUAGUUUUUUUAUUCAAACCAUUUUAAGAAAAAAAUUAAAGCCCGAAAGACUUUAAACCUUCAGUCUCAGACUUCAAUUCAUCCAACCCAAUCUCAUUUCACCAUACCAUAUUCCAAUUUCCUAAUUAGUUAUCCUCACCCCCCACCCAAUCGUACCAAUUCUUCUAAAUUGCAAAAUAUUAGUGAUCUUAAAAAAAAUAUGAAAAAGGUCGCAUCGAGUAUUUUAAUAUGUACAUUUAUUUAGAGUGCGGAUAUACUCAUCCGUUUCUUUUAUUUCUCCACCUACUUUUUAAUAAAAAGGUUAUUCAGAGAUUUACACCUAGAAGCUGUGUUGAUUUUUAAUGUUCCAACUUCCAAUGAACUACGUUGCUCUCUCCGGCUCCUUUUCUUUCUCUACACCCUCACAAUAUAUCCUCAUUUUCUUGUUUUUUCUUUUUUAAUUUUUUGUUAUUCUUGUUAGUCACCAGAUUUGUUAAUUUUGGAAUUUUAGUUAUUAGGUUAUUUUUGGGAGCAGCCUCUCCAUAAAUGGGGGUAAGGCUAGCCGACAUUCACCUCUCCCAGACCCUGCGUAAAGCGGGAGCCUUGUGCACUGGGUACGACAUUUUUUUAGUUAUUAGGUUAUUUUUAAAUAAUAUCUUAGGUUAUUUUUAAAUUUUUUUUAUUGGAUAUAAUUGUGAUUCCUUACUUGACUAAGUUGACAUUCAAUUAAGAGAGUAUUAAAGAUAAAAUUUAGUAAUUAAUUAUAUUUUUAAUGUGUGAUUUUUCUCCUUAUCAUGGACAUGAGAGCUUGAUAAGGUUGUAUUCAGUUGCUCAGGUCUUUAGACCAUCUCUAAAAAAGAUGUCAAAUUUUUAAACAAAAAUUUAAAUCUAAAAGCAUAUGUGGCACAUUGAUUUUUUGUAAAUUUUGUUCUCCAACCAUAUGUCAAAUUUAAACUAUUAUUAAUUCUGUUAUUUACUUUUCAUAAUUGUAUUUGUAAUUUUGAAAGAAAAGAUAAUACAAAAAUUAUAAAAACCCUUUAUUAUCCACUAAAAAUAGAUUUGAAGCUCCUGUCAAAUUUGAUAGCAACUUCAUCUGUUGUCAUUCCAUGUCAUUCCAUAUAGGAAUUGACAUUUUGGUUGGAAAACACUAGUGUUGUUUCUUUUCUUUUUUUUACCAUUAUUGUUAAUGUGAAAUUUUUGACAUCUCCUUUGGAGAUACUCUCAGAGAUGUUGAACUACAAGUGGAUUAAAUGUGGACCUUACCAAUUUAAUAAGGAUAUUUUUGUCUUUUUUCGAGAAAAAAAAAUUCACGUGUUAGCUCCAGAAUUUUUCAAAUUAUUUUUUGCUCUCCUAUUAGUACCCGAGUUGUCCUACCAAAUAAAAAAUAUAUAUAUACCUUUGAAAUUAGCAAGCCUUUCGUAGUGUAGUUAUGGUGGUAGAUAGAAGGUCGUUAUAAUGCUAGCUAAAAAAAUAGUCAAAAAUAGAGCGCCGGGAAGAGAAAGACGUCUUUGGACUUGAUUAAUAAUGUGGAGAAAGUAGUUAAAAGUCUGGUGGGGAGACUAAUGAACAUAAUAAUUAUGUAUAUUAGAUGACAAUGGUCAAUUGAAUGAAAUAAUGGUUUUGAAAUUUCAUUCAGGUAGGAACCAGCGACCACCAUAUUUGACAUUUCUUAAAAGAGACAUCAUGCCAGCACAAAAUCAAUCAUUUUCGGAAUGAAUUCCGUCAUGUUAGGCAUGCUUCCGAUUGGAUAAUUGAUUCAAACCCGAGCUAUUGCAAACAUGGUGUGCAAUUGUCCGAAUUAAAGUACCACGAACAAUGGCAUGAAUUUGAGAAGAACUUCAAUGUGACACUACAAGAAAUAUAUAUUCACUAGGUACAGAUGUGGAAGUGUCUCUACUUUUCUUUGCAGAGACAGAAAACUUGUCUACUUAACUAAUAGAGACAAUGCAUCUACAAAUUAGUGAUCUGUUUGUUUCAUUGGUGUAGCUAUUGAUGAUUCGAGACACAAGAUUCGUCCCUUAAAUUUUUCUGAAUAUUAUAGUUAGACUUUGGCACAGGUCUCGAUGCUUGAUGUUGCACCUUUGCAGGAGGUUUGUAACUUAAUUAGUUAGUUCAGAGCAAUUAUUGUAGCAUGAUUCAAUCGCCCCCUUCGCAUUUUACACAUUUGAAAAUAUGGUUCCUCAAUAGGAUGGCAAUACUAGAAAUUUGAUCAACCGUUAUGGAUUCGGUCGUGGCUAUUGAUGUUAUUGGCUGAGUAACCAUUGAAAGGCUUCUUUUUUUUUUACUUUUUUUUUUGAAAGAAAUAAACUAAAUUAAACAAUAGAGUCACAAGGGUCUUCCGUACAUAAAGUAUCACACAUCAACGCAUGUCUAGCAGGAGACGGAGAAGUACAAACCCAAAAUAUAUCAUAAGGAUAUAGUGACAAUAAUUGGCCAAAGACAAUUCCAUUAUACACAUGAAAUCAUUUGAAUGAUAAAUCAUAUCAUACUUAGAGAGAUCAUCUUACAUAAGUUUUUUCCCAUGCAUUUUGGGUCUAUGAAGUGCCACAACCAUUUUAAUCUUUUCCACACUUAAAAAUAGAACAAGAUAAAUAUUUUCAUCUGAGAUUAUGUCGCAGCCUCAAAUGUAGCAGCUUCUUCGUACACUUAAUUAUGUGUGAACUUCAAUUCAUGUUGUUGUUUGGAAGUCAACAUUCAGCAGCUUCGGAUAUUUUGGGUAGGCAAAAAACAAGUCUCUUGACUUUAAUGUCAAAAAACUGGAGAAAAAACAAUUAAGUCCACGUACACACUUCCUUAGUUCCACUACCAUAACACUAUAAAAUACACCACAUUAGCAUCCACUUGCAAACCUCGGCUUUCCUUAACCCUUCUCUUCUUCAUCUCUAUAAUUCUCAACCCCUCUCUCAGUUAGCCAUGGUGGACGGGGAGCAAGUCAGACCGCUAGCCCCUGCCGCUAUCCACCCAAGCAGCGACGCCGAUGAGGCUGCUUUUCACUUGAAAAAAGUUAGACGAAGAAAGUUCAUCAAGUGCUGCGGCUGCAUAACAGCUGUGAUCUUAAUCCAAGCCGUUGUGAUCAUAAUAUUAGCUUUCACUGUGUUCCGUGUGAAGGAGCCAAAGAUCAAGAUGAAUAAGAUCACGAUUACAAGGCUGGAGUUGAUCAACAACAACACAGCCCCUAAGCCAGGCUCAAACCUGUCACUAAUAGCCGAUGUGUCGGUGAAAAAUCCCAACUUCGCCUCGUUCAAGUAUACCAACACCACCACGACCUUGUAUUAUCACGGCGUGGUGGUGGGGGAGGCUCAUGGCGCACCUGGUCAUGCUAAGGCUCGACGGACCAUGAGGAUGAAUAUCACGGUUGAUAUGAUCACAGACCGGCUCACGUCCGACCCCAACUUGAGGGCGGAUUUCAAUUCUGGGUUGAUGACCAUGAGUAGCUAUUCUAGAAUUCCAGGAAGGGUGAAGAUGUUGAAUAUUAUCAAGAAACAUGUGAUUGUGAAAAUGAAUUGUACUAUGACUGUUAAUAUUUCCAGCCAGGCAAUUCAAGAACAAAAAUGUAAGAGGAAGGUUAAGCUCUAGGUUUUAUUGGGGUUUUUGUAUACUUUAUUUAUUGUGUUUUUAGUAGAAGAUGGAGUAAUAAUAUAGGUUUUUGGACACGAUAUAUAUCAUACGUUCAUAUGUAAAACAGUAAAAGCAUUGAGUGUGCUCCUUGUAUAGAUUUUUUCCUUCACUUUUCUCAUAUUGGAUUUUUCAUAUUUAGUUUACCAUCCAACUCCAUGUUUUUCCUUCCUCUUUUUAGUCAUGUUAAGUGUGGUAACCAAAAUAGUCUCUUCGUGAGCUAUCCCCUAUCUCCCCUGUGAGAGCAUAUGAGGAUCUUUUCCAGAUUCUCUUUUCCGGAUUCCCCAUCUUUAUAAGGAUUUAAAGGAUUCUUUAAUUAUGUUCGUUCAUUAUAAAUUGCACGAUCAAUUUUCAUCUAAUACUUUUUGUAUUUAAAUUUUUAAUAAAAAAUUUAAAAUAAUUUCCUACUGCACAAUACAAACAUAAUUAAAAAAAUUUCGGAUCCUCACACAAAUGAUCGGAGAGAAUACUCGUUCUUCCAACCCAUGCUCAAUUGUCAAGGCAAUUGGGUAAUUAUUGCCCAAAAAACGGAAAAUCUUACUCCUGGGCCCAGAGCUGCCUGAAUACCCAGUCAUACAAUCCUUGCCCGAUCCUGCUCCCGAGUGGUCUGAAGUCAGCCAAGUUCAGCACGACCCGACGAACCCAGCCCCGCAGGUGACGACAACUUGGAGCUGACGACCCAGAAGGCGUUGAACUCGUCGAGGUAAAUGAAGCCGUCGUUGUCGGUGUCGAGAUCGAUCGCGCUUGAGCUCGUCGUCGGAGAUGGAGUAUUGGGUCUAUCUAGCUUUCCCAAUUUGUCAUGGACUUUUUGCUUAUCUGUUUAUUGGGUUAGUUGGCCUUACCCAAAUAUAAUACUUUAUAUUAUUUAAUGGAAGAUGCUCUUUGGAAAAAGUGUGGUAACCAAAUUAUACCGCCAAGAUUAUUACAUGCCAGCAAAGAGUCUAGAAGGAAGGAAAUGUCGCCCAACCUUCUACAAGCCAAAAGUAGAAGAGUAAAAUUCUCUUCCUUUUUUUUUGACAAAAAAAAAAACUCUAUACUCUCUUCCUUCUUAUUCUCAUCUCUUUCUCUUUUCUUUUCUCGUACUUUUCUUUUAUCUUAUUUUUUUAAUAUAAAAUGUUAACGUAACAUAAUUAUGUGAUAGGAUCCUUCUUCAUUUUUUUCAUCUCUUCACGCUUCUGGUUCCUCUUGUUCAAUCUUGAGUAAAAUUCUCUUCCUUUUUUUGACAAAAAAAAUAUCUUCCUUCUUAUUCUCAUCUCUUUUUCUUUCCUCUUCUCAUACUUUUUUUUAUCUUUUUUUUAAUAUAAAAUGUUGACAUGACAUAAUUAUAGGAUAGGAUCCUCUCUCGAUCCUUCAGAUCCUUCUUCAUCUUCUUUCAUCUCUUCACGCUUCUGGUUCCUCUUGUUCAAUCUUCUUCUUCUUCUUCUUCUUCAAUCCUACUUUUUCUUCUUCAUUUUUUCUGUUUGUCUCUUGGGAACUUCUAUGCACCCUAUUUUUCAAAAUGACGAGCGAAGUUCGUUGUUCAAGACGACUACGACGUUUCCGGUUACUAGUUCCAGGGAAGCCACCACGCCGACUCCGGAGAAGCUAGGAUGCCGACUCAGACUGUAAAGAAGAAGGAACUUGAGGAUCUGAAUGUGUAUGAUCCGAAAAGGAUCCUAUUCCCUUAGUUAUAACGCUUUAAUAAGAGGGAAGAAGAGAAAAAAGAAUCCUCCUUGAAAGUAAAUCCCAUGCUUAACACGCAUUAAAUGAGGAAAGCGUAGCUAGGGAAAUUUGGGAUUUGGAUCCCAUUCGGAUCCAAACGGUGGGGAUCCUAGGGAUCCUCACAUCUUAGUCAUUCAUUGUUCAUCGUGUGGUCAGAAAUCAUUUGAAUAUUUUAUUUAAAAUUAAACACAAAUAGUACCUGAAAAAAAACUGGCUGCACGAUUUACGAUGAAUGGUUAAGAUGUGAGGAUCCCUAAGAUUCCUGCACAGAGGAUUCGAAAAUGAUCAUCAUUAGGAAAUUUUCCCAUCAUAAAAGCCUUCAGAAGAGGAAGACUCACUUAUGCAUACAACUUUUCUCCCAUGCGCAUGGGUUGAUCAUUGUCCGUAUUAACUAAUUAGAUGUCAAAUUUUAAUCAUAAAAUUCAGGGUAAAUUACAUAAAACUACUUCAACUAUUAGGUCUAUUUAUACCAUAUUUAGGGCCUCGUAUUUAGAUCUCGUACAAAUACUCGGAGGACUUAAAUGUAAUUAUGUGAUAAAGGAAGGGGCAAAUAUAUAAUAAGUGAUGAGCCCUUAUUCUAUAAAAUGACUCAUCACCCUCACAAUUAGAGGAGGCUAAUUCCUAGGCCCUCUCACCCCCUCUCAAAGCUCUCACUCUUAGAGCUCUCUCUCCCUUAGAUAAAUACAUAAUCAGUGUGGACGUAGCCCAAACCUUGGGGUGAACCACAAUACAUCUUGUGUUAUUUACAUUUCUUGCAGAUUCACGAUCGGAUUUACGUUGUUCCAAGACCUCCGGUUUUGUGCAUCAACAUUUGGCGCCGUCUGUGGGAAUCGACACGAAAAACUAUGUCGGUUCUCUUUCAUUUUUUCACCUCCGCCGUGAAUCUGCAAAGUCACAGAAACCCAGAAACCAAAGCCACUGCAAAACCCAUAUCUCAAAAAUGCAUAAACGAAAACUCCGAAACUCAACCACAGUUUCUUUUCUCUCUCCUUCUCCCUUCAGUAUCUCCUUUUGCAAUUGGUUUUGCUCACCAGCUGAUGAGCAAACAUGUUUCACCAGCCAAAUCUAAAGCUACCCAUCUCAUGGUUUUCUACCAUUUGAAGGAAAGCUUGUGUUUUUUACCUUUUGCUUCGUUUAAGGUGGUCUGGGCGGUGAAGAGUUAAAUUUCUUUUCGAUUCGUUUGUUUUCCACCGAUAUAUUGAAUCUCUGCAUAAAUUUCAGGGAACCCAUUUGGCCAGUGGCCGUGGAGAAUGCAGGAUUCGAAUAAAAGAAAUUCAUAUCUCCUCCUAGCUCAGUGGGCCCAUUCCGGCUCCUACUCUUCCUUGCUCGAAGCCCCUCACUUGCAUCUCCGGCCCCGUUUUCUUCUUAUUUCAGAUCUCCAACGCGACGCUCAACUCCAACUCCAUCCUCAUCGCCAUCUUCUCCCCCCGACUCUCACUUCAGGGUGUCAUCGAGAUCAAUUUUGCCUUUGUGUAGAUUGGGUGCGCAGAGAGAUUGGGUACGCCAUCCAGUGGAGGCCCCACCCACGACUGACGUGACAGCCCAGAACGCCCUCAGAGUAAGGAUGAAAGACGUCCAAGGCAUGCCUAGCACCGCCGGUGGGCUCGCCUUGCGUCUCUGCCAGCUCUGCUUCACCGCAAUCUCUCUCUCCAUCAUGGCCACCACCUCCGAUUUUCCCACCGUCAACGCCUUCUGCUACCUUGUCGCUGUUAUUAGCUUGCAAUGGGGUGGAGUUUGUCAAUGGCGAUUUUUUAUUUGAAUGCUCUUUUGGUGGGGCAGAGUUUGUGCAAUUGCAAGGCUGUGUGUUUCUUCUCCAUUGGAGAUGGGGUCAAGCAUCUGGGUCCGCAUGAUCAUGGCAAUCAGGCUCUUGUCGAGGAAGAACCUGUGUUAAUUUGACCGUGUUGGGACUGAUCUAGUUAAAGAGGAUCGAGGCAUUCAUAGAGGCAUUGCAAUGCAUUCUUAUACGACAAGCUUGAAUCGCCAGGCCGCGAGAUCAACAACUCACCAAGAAACGAAAUCAAAUCCAAGUCCCUCGGGGCGAGCAUCUCAGUGUCGUCGUCAGUGAUGGUAUCGUGAGUCAAGCAGCAUUCUCUCUCGUGGGUCCUGGUUAGAAUAAUCUGGGUGAAAUCACUUUGCGACUUCACGUAGAACAAAGACCCAAAGUAAAGCAGAUUAAGAAGCUCAUCGAUGGUGGAUUUUGGUUUUGCAUUUUGUUGUGCGGGGAUUGGUGGUGGUAAUCACAGUCUCUCUAUCCCUCAACACAAAAAAAAACCCAAAAGUUGGAUCUAUAUACUCUCCACAUGUUUGCUUAAAGAGAAGCUGAAGGGAGACAAAAACAACAUUUUUGUAUCUAUAAAAGCCAUGUUCAUCACAAGGAAUCAAGCCAUUGGCCUUCUGUUGAUUUUCUUGGGCAUCUCCGACUUGCGCAACGAUUGCGUUUCCGGAGCUGGAUGUUUAAACGAGAAGGGGGAGAAUCUGAGGAAGCCUCGAGUUUUCAACUCUAAGCCCCACCACAAGUGGGUUGGACCCAGCGGCCACCGCCUGGUCAUGGUUGACAUGAACGGCUCCGGGGACUUCCAGUCUGUCCAGUCCACCGUCAAUGUAGUCCCGGUGAACAACACGGUCAAUGUUGUCAUCCUAAUCAAGUUCGGAUGUUCCAUAGAAAAAGUGGGAGUGCCGACGACGAAGCUGUACACUUAUGUAUUGCGGUGCCGACGACAGUCUGAAGAAGUUGGAGUACCUUUCCCUGGCAUCCAAAGUCUGUUCAAAAGCUCGAAACGCAUCUAAGGUUUGGGGACAAAGUUCUAGCAGAAGGCUGCUUUUGCCCUUGGGAAGAUCUACAAGGAUUUUCUAUUAAUAAUCAUGUUGUUAUUGUCUGCCAUUUUCUAAAAGACAGCAAAAGCAAAGCAAAAUAGAAGAAAAAGACAGAGACAGAGACCCCGCCAUCUGCCAUCUACAAUCUUCAAAGUAAAGCAAAGUAAAGAGAACUUCACUUUACUUUUGUCUGCCAUCUGCAAAGGGUAAUGCACCUGGACUUCAGCAACAGAAUAAUAAAAUGCAAUAAAAGAGAGAGGUACGGGGAAAAGAGAAAAACAAAAGCAAAAAGCAAAAGAGAAAGCAAAAGCAAGGAAUAAACACCCCACCAGAAUGAUGUGAUUUACUUUUCUUGUUUUUUGUAUGAUGUGAUUUAUUUUUCUUAUCUUUUGGAGACAUCUGUAUAAACCCUAUCAGAGGGUAAUAGUAAAAAAAAAAAAAGGGCAAAGCCCAAAAUAAAUGGGCUGGAAUGUUGUGUGAGGGCGAAGGUCCAUAAGCCCAAAAUAGCUCCAACCAGACGAUCAAAAGUACGCUCAGUACUCCACAAUUAUUCAGCAACCUACCGCUAUUACCACCAACUAGGUGAUCAAAAGUACGCCCAGUACUUCAUAUUAUACAUGAGCAUUACUCAUGUUAAUCAUACAUAAACAUUCAUGAGCAUCACUCAUAUCAAUCAUACAUAAACAUUCAUGAGCAUCACUCAUGUCAACAUUCAUGAGCAUCACUCAUGUCAACAUCUAUGAGCAUCACUCAUGUCAAAUCAAACAUUCAUGAGCAUCACUCAUGUCAAUCAAACAUUCAUGAGCAUCACUCAUGUCAAUCAGCUUCAAAAGCUUCAUUUACAAAAGCUCUAGCUUCAAAAGCUUCAUUUAUAGAGCUAUAGCUUCAAAAACUUCAUUUACAAAAGUUCUAGCUUCGAAAGCUUCAUUUGCAAAGCUACAACUUCAAAAGCUUCAUUUACAAAAGCUCUAGCUUCGAAAGCUUCAUUUACAGAGCUACAACUUCAAAAGCUUCAUUUACAAAAGCUCUAGCUUCGAAAGCUUCAUUUACAGAGCUACAGCUUCAAAAGCUUCAUUUACAAAAGCUCUAGCUUCGAAAGCUUCAUUUACAGAGCUACAGCUUUAAAAGUUUCAUUUACAAAAGCUCUAACUUCGAAAGCUUCAUUUACAGAGCUACAGCUUCAAAAGCUUCAUUUACAAAAGCUCUAGCUUCAAAAGCAUCAUUUACAGAGCUCCAGCUUCAAAGCUUCACUUACAAAGCUUCAGUGUAGGGUAUACAAAUACCGCCUCCGAACAACCGCCACUUUGGCCCAUACAUGGAUUCAAUUUGAAGUCUCUAGCCAACAGACUCUAUUGACCAAAGACUUAGGGGACUACAUUAUGUACUAUAUAUUGGGCCUUAACUGGGCCUCAUGAAAAUACUUGGGGGACUUAGCCCAUUAUCUAUGUACUGAGGAGCGAACCCUUAUUCUAUAAAAGAGACUCCCUUACUUUCAUUAGAAAGCACUCAUGAAAAAUACUUGGGGGACUUAGCCCAUCACUUAUGUAUUGAGAAGCGAGCCCUUAUUUUAUAAAAGAGACUCCCUCACCUUUGUUAGAGAGCAUCGUCGCUAACUGAGCAACCGCCUAGUCGUGAGCAUCACUCCUAAUCCAUCAUUUAUGUAUUGAAGAGCGAGCCCUUAUUCUAUAAAAGGGACUCCCUCACCAUUAUUAGAGAGCAUCAACUCUAGCCCAUCAUUCAUGUAUUGAGGAGCGAGCCUUUAUUCUAUAAAAGGGACUCCUUCACCUUCAAACGCCACAAAGCCGAGCCAACCAAGGCAACAUAAGCCACAAGCCGAGUAGCCUCGCAACGUGUGCUACUUCUAGUUGAGCAUCAUUUCAGAUUGAGUACUGCCUCAUAUCGAACAUUAGUUCAAGACAGCAUCUAGUUACUUUAGCCUACACAUGGACUGAAUUUCAAGUCUCCAGCCAAAUGACUCUCUUGACUGAAGACUUGGGGGACUACUGUUUAUACCAUAUUUAGGGCCUCAUAUUUAGAUCUCGUACAAAUACUCGAGGGACUUAAAUGUAAUUAUGUGAUAAAGAAAUGGGCAAAUAUGUAAUAAGUGAAGAGCCCUUAUUCUAUAAAAUGACUCUUCACCCUCACAAUUAGAGGAGGCAAAUUCCUAGGCCCUCUCACCCCCUCUCAAAGCUCUCACUCUUAGAGCUCUCUCUCCCUCAGAUAAAUACAUAAUCAGUGUGGACGUGGCCCAAACCUUGGGGUGAACCAGGAUACAUCUUGUGUUAUUUACAUUUCUUGCAGAUUCACGGUUGGAUUUACGUUGUUCCAAGACCUCCGAUUUUGUACAUCAACAAGGUCAGUCACAGUUUCAUACCUCGUCUUUAAAAAGUUUCAAUGUCAUACAUCAUCUUACAAUUUGUUACAAUUUCAUAUCUUCCGUCAGUUUGUCUAUCAAUUUUUCCGUUAAAUAGUGACAUGGCUUUAAAAAUAAUUAAAUAUUAAAAAUUAAAAAAAUAUCAUUUAAUAUUUUUUCUUUUUCCAUGGGGGACCCACCCCCUUAAACCACCUGUAUCUCUUUCCUCCCCCACUUCUCUCUCUCGCCAUGCGCAGAACCCCCUUAACGCACCUAGGUUUUUUCAUUUGCCAUCACCUUGGAUCCCUUCCACCUAAUCUCCGACCGCGACCUUGACCUUGGAUCCAUUCCACCUAAUCUCCGCCGUCCACUUAUCCUCUUUUUCUUUGUCCUGUGGACCGGCCCUGUCUGCACCCUCCCUCACCAGAUCCCAGCCAUCCAACCUCCGCACCACCAGCCUCACCUCGUAUUUCUUCUUCGUCAGAGGCCGCCAUGGUCACCACCUCAUCAUUUUCACCACCAUUCUUUUGAAUCAAUGCCUACACAUCGACCCACCAAAGCCAAAAAAAAGAAAAUUUGAGGAAAGCAACCCUUAAUAUGAAUCAAAAAAUUUCUCUAGGGGUUGUUUGGUUCCCGGGAAAAUAAAUGUUUCUAAUGGGUUCUUGGGUUUGCAGUGAAGGAUUUUCCGAGAAAAUUUGGGAUUUGAUUUGAUUUGAUUAAUUUGGGAGGUGGGUUGGGGGAAGACGGGAAUGGGUGGGAUCUGGGUUCGGGGCCAACGAGGCUGCUGUUGCAGCGAGAAAGGGAGAAAGGGAGAGAGAAUACAGGAGGAAAGGGGAUGGAUGAUGAAAAAACCCAGGUGGGUUAAGUGGGUUAUGGGCACGACGAGAGAGAGAAGUGGGGGAGGAAAGAGAUACUGGUGGUUUAGGGGAGUGGGUCCCCCAUGGAAAAAGAAAAAAUAUUAAAUGAUUUUUUUAAGCCACGUCACUAUUUAACGGAAGAAUUGACAAACAAACUAACAGAAGGUAUGAAAUUGUAACAAAUUGUAAGAUGAUAUAUGAUAUUGAAACUUUUUAAAGAUGAGGUAUGAAACUGUGACUGACCUAAUAGUUGAGGUAGUUUUAUGUAAUUUACCCAAAAAUUUAAAUUUGACAGCCUAUAUGACAUUUUGACAUCUUUUAAAUUUUUGUUCUCCACCGGUAUGUCAAAUUAAAGUAUUAUUUUAUUACAUUAUUUUCUUUUCAUUUUAUUUUAUUAAACUAUUAUUUUAUGCCCUUCUUUCUGGACUUCUCCUAUCACCUUCUUUCUCUCUUUUCUGAAUCUUUGUAUACUUGCUUCUCUUCUCCAUCAACAACUUAUUGCCCUUUACCAUCACAUCGAUAUACUCGUACUCACCUGAAAUCCAAGGGCCACAACCAAAUUUACUUUUUUUAACCUUUUAAUUUCACUUUUUUUUUUUAUAAAAUCUGUUUGGGCGUUGAGAAAGUGUGGGCUUUUAAAUUACCAGCAGGGAAAGACAACAACUUCUCCUAUUUCGAUUCGCAGGUGGAAGAAUCUUAGUCGAGAGAUUUCACUCUGUAGGCGACGAUCUUCCUUGAAUCGUCUUUUUGUUUAAGAUUCUUGUUUGCUUCGACGAUCUUCCUUAAUGGUGAUGGACUCCACGUUAUGAACCCAAAAUAGGUCUUAAUUGUUAUUGUCUUAAUUGGUGAUUUAGAAAGUUAAUUGAAGGUUUUAUGCUUUAGUUUUUAUUAUUAAGGACGGUUAAAUAUGCCAGCUGGCAUUUUAAGGGGUGGAGUCUGUAUAAAAGGGUGGCCUGCUUAUGCUGGUCAUGUAUCGUCGUAGUGCCUCGUCGGUGACCUCAUUGUGUUGGAAAUCGCACAAUCGCUUAGUUAAUAGUCUCUCUACUUCUUCCUGAAUUUGCCUUUGUUAGGGUAGUGGAGCUCUCGGCUGCCCCCAGUCGUGACCUACUGAUCUAGGUUGCUCUUCCAUGUAUUCGGCUCGUCUAUGCCACGGUUGUGGUGUAUGUGGUACGUUCUUAGCAGAUGAGCGAAUUUCUCCUAAGAUGCCGAUUGAACUUGAGCCGGAUUGAGUGAUUGUUUUUCUCCGUCCGUCUUGCUACCUACUUCGAUGUAAGGUGGAGAAUGCUCCUUGUGGGCUUAGCCGCGAAUGAAAAUUUCGCCUAGAAGAUUGCUCAUGUUGACCAUCGGAGUGUGACCUCAACCGUGAAUGUAUGCUUGUCCGUGGGCCUAGUCGAGAGUGCACACUCCUCCGCACACAAAGACGGGAGUAUAUGCUAUCUCGAAGGUCCAAUCGAGAGUGUACACUGCCCGAACGAUCAGUUCGUGGCUAGUCGAGUGACUGUUUACCGAGACCCUGCUGGAGAGGUUCUUCGUCUACCCUUGUCCUACUUCGAAACACCUCAUCUAGGGCACAUUUCAUCUCAGUGCACGACAAGAGCUAAUUCACCAAGGUCAUUUAUUGUGUGAGGGCGCUCAUAUACUCUAUGACUUGUCGGAACAAGUGUUGUUCGUCAUUCGGAUUGGAAGAGCUUGGAAGAAAUGUAUCUCCUUAAGUAGUGGAAGUGUUAUAGACUCCGGAUGCUAGAUUCGAAUUGGGGAAUGUCAAAUUUGCAUAGAAGUGAGGUGAAAAUGCCCCAGGUUCAAUUGUAGGCCCAGAAACUUGAAGCCGGGAUGGUGAAACUAAUCUUGGACUGAUUUGGGCUGCUUGAAAGGCCACGGGAGUAGGCUGGGCCACAGGAGUGGGCUACUUGGCGAGAGCAGGCUGGGCCACUAAAGUGGGCUGCUCGGUGCGAGGAGGCUGGGCCACAAGAGUGGGCUACUCGACGUGUAGCGCACGUAGGUGUGAGGCUUGGGCUCGGCUCGGCAAUGCAUUAGGCUCACGUUGGAUUUAAGUGGCACAGGCCGAUUUGCCUUAGGCUUGGAGUGACACGGCUUAGGCCAUGGCCUUGGUGCCGUGGGCCUUGAAUGGCACAGCAAGCUUGGAUGACACGGCUUGGGCUGUGGUAAUGGCGCCAUGGACCUCGCCUUGGGUGGCUACCGUGGUGGUUGCCAUGGUAGAGCCUUGUGGUGGUGGUGCCGCUCCACUUAUUGUCACAUUUAGCCUCGUGGAUCGUCGUGGUCCCAUCUCUUGAACGUUGGAAUUUUCGUUCGUUGAAGUUUAUAAAGAAUUUUUGCAAAUAAAAAAUUCUAAAAAUAAGAACGUACGAAAAAUCUACAAAUGGACAAGAAAAUAGUAAACCUUGGAUGCGAGAGUCUUCUACGAGUUUGGGACUCAGCUCUCAAUGAAAGCACCAAUUUGUGGAUGAAAUUUCUUCCUCCUUGCUCUUGAACAAAAUUGCACCUACAAAACAAACAACACCUUAGGUCAAAGCCAAGAGCCUUACGCGCCUAUGAUGCAUGAGGGGCUUUGGCCGAAGAACCUUCGAUGUCAAAGUUAGAAUUUUGAGGGAAAAGUGUUUUGAGAAUUUAGAGAGUUUAGCAAGAGAAUUAGAAUUGAUUUUUGGAGAGAAUGAAGGGGUUUAUAUAGAGGUGUGGCCGGUCUCUUAGGAGGAGGAAGACCGGCCACUUGGUUAGUAUUUUGAGUGAGGUUCAUGAUUUGUAGCUAAUUAGGAAUAAUUGAAUAAUAAAUCAAUUAAUUAGCUAAUUAAUAGAAUAAUUUCCUAAUUGAUUAGCUAAUUAAUAUAAUAAAAGAGGAUUUGAUGAGGAUGGAUGAAAUAGGUUUUGAAUUAUUACCUAUUUUGGGCACUUUUGACUUGGUUGAGGGUUGAUUGCCCACUGCUCGCAUGUAGGAAUCCCGGUGUACCUCAAGGGUAAUUUUGUCCUUUUUACCCAAAAAUCCACAUGUCGCAUCUCGUUUAUUUUUGGCUCCACACACUGGAGAUGCAAAAUCAGUCGAUCAAGGAGCACCUUCAGUUUGGAUAGACAGCACUACUUCGAGGUCGACUAGUUAUUAUCCAAGUCUCGGUCGACAAGGAUUUUCGAGUCCUCGUUGGUAGAGGUCAUCUCAUCAGCCUUCUCAGCGAAUUGAGGUGUUACAAGCUACUAGGCUUGGCACAUUGAACGCCGAGUUUUAUUUUAUGAUUGGAUAUUUGCAAGUGCAUUUUAGAAUUCAGCAUUCCGAUGACCGAACCACAUUUACCAUCAAGACAUUUAUCUCAUUCGAGUAUUUGUGUUCGUAUAGUCUGGUGCCAAUUUGGCAUGCUUAUACUCUUACAAAUAUAAUUAUUGUGACCGAACCCGGCGCUGACGAUUUGUGAACUUCGCAGAACUAGCAGCCUUGUCUUCAGGCUCUAAAACCCGAAGGUCGAGAAGUGUUCCUUCCUUGGCCGCAUUCGUAAAAUCAAGAAUCAGUAGCAUGCUCAAUGCAACAUCAACAUAUUUUACUCCCCGGCCGAGCUUGGCCGAGUUGGCAAGCCCCGUACAUAACCGAAUGACGUAGUUAGCUUAUUAGUUACUCGGCCUGCAUGCCAUGUAUGCUUGGUAGUUUUUUAGGGUCAACACAAUCGAAUACGCAUUCGUGAUCACCAUAUAUAUAGAUGAAUGUUUAUCAAAAAAGAUAACUUGCUUGUUAUUUUAAAGAAAAAUACUAUUGGGGUUUAGGAUUAGUGUGUUAUGCAUAUUAAUUCAUUGCAAGCUAAGACACCUACAUUGUCUCAAUAAUCCUCAACCCUUAGCAAAGAUGGAGGGGGAGUAAGACAGACCACUAGCCCCCGCCAUUCUCCGCCCGAGCAAAGGACGUCGAUGAGGCCGUUUUUCAGUUUAAAAAAAAUUAGAAAAAGAAAGUUCAUCAAGUGAUGUGGCUACAUAAAAGUCGUGGUCUUAAUCCAAACUGUGGUGAUCAUAAUUUUUGCUUUCACUGUGUUCCGAGUGAAGAAUACAAAGAUUAAGUUGAACAAAGUCACGAUUACAAGGCUGAAGUUGAUCAACAACAACACAAUCCCUAAGCCAGACUCUAAGAUUUCGUUAACAGCAGAUGUGUCGAUGAAAAAUCCAAAUGUGGCCUCAUUCAGGUAUAGCAACAAUAGUACCACUCUGUAUUAUCAUGGCCUGGUGGCAGGGACGGAGCCACUAUAGGCCUAGAGGGGGCGGAUGCCCCCACUUAAAUUUUUUUUUUGGGUGCAGAAAAAUUGCACAAUUUUGCAUCUCAAUGACAAACCCUAAUUAAAAUAAAAAUUAAACCCUAUAUGUUAAUUGGUAUCAAGGGAAAUGUGCUAAGGAGACUCUUCCAAAAGUGGACCUCUCCAUGAACUUUCCGUUAGGGGUGGGUUCAAAAAACCGAAAACCAAACCGAACCGAAACCGAAAAAACCGAACCGAACAAAAAAACCGAACCGAAUUGAAAAAACCGAACCGAACCGAAUUCUUUUGGUUCGGUUCGGUUUUAGUGAUAUAGAAACCGAACCGAACCGAACCGAACCGAAUUAAUUAAAUUAAUUUUUUUAUUUAAUUAUUUGUUUUGGAUAUUAUUUUCUAAACCCAAUUUGUAAGUUAAAAUAUGCUAAACCCAAUGUGUUGCCAAACUUUAAGCUCAAAAUAUUAAAAAAAAGUCCUAUAAAAACUUUAAACCCUAACCUAUUAUUUAUCCCCCAUAUAAGGUUCCGGAGCCAAACCUCAUCCUGAAGUACCUACAUCCAUCUCCAUAUAGCACUGUCUACUUUUGUCUCAGCUUUCUUUUCCAAAUCUACUCUCAUAUAACAUGUAACAGAAUCUAUAAACAUUUAUUUCGGGUAGAAUUACUUAGGGAAUUUGUGAUGGAAAAGAAUCCAACACACACACUAAAUAAAUCCACCCACGCAUUUCUUUUACUAAUCAAGUUGUCAACAUGCAGUUACAAGCAAACAACCCUGAUCUUUGAACAACAUCAUACAAUUUAACUUUUCUAAGUCAUUUGUACGAUUUUUGUGUUGUGAUGUUGUUAGUUUGGACUUUGGAAGACUUGAUUGAUGAUUUUAGUUCAACUUUAAAUGUUUAUUUUCAUUGUCUUUGAUUAUAGUUAGAAUGCUUGUGUUAUGAUUGUGUUGGAUACGUUAAAAUUUAAAAUUUCAAUGUUUUUCAUUUUUUGAAAGAAAAAAAAAACAAAAAACCGAAACCGAACCGAAAAAAACCGAACCGAAAAAAAACCGAACCGAAAAAAACCGAAAAAAAAAUGAACCGAACCGAACCGAACCGAAAUUUCGGUUUGGUUUCGGUUUUGGCAAAAAACCGAACCGAAUUAAACCGAACCCACCCCUACUUUCCGUCACCUCAUGUUUUUAAUACAAUCUCGGUACCAACAUCAUUAAACAUUGUGCUAAAAAACAUGAGGUGGUGGAGAGUCCCACUUUGAGAGAGUCUCCUUGCAUUUCUCUUAGUAUCAAUAUGACUGACUUCGCCAACAAUGAUUCUAAGUGUUUUGUAUGAAAAACAUUAUAGAUUAAUAUAUAAGUGUUUGUUUAGUAAAAAAUUUUUAGCUUUUUAAUUGUAACUUUGUUGUUUGAGGAUGCCCCCAUGCAUACAAAUCUCUGGCUUCGUCUCUGCCUGGUGGUGGGGGUAGCUCAUAGUCGGUCGGGAGUCUCUAGGGCUCAACGAACCAUGAGGAUGAAUGUUAUAGUUGACAUCAUCACGAACAGUCUCACGUCCAACCCCAAUGUGAGAUCGAACGUGGAGUCAGGGUUGAUAACCAUGAGUAGCCAUUUUAGAAUUCUUGGGAGGGUGAAGGUGUUGAAUAUUAUCAAGAGACAUGUGGGUUGUGAAAAUGAAUUGUACCAUGACUAUUAAUAUUUCCAGCCAGGCAAUUCAACAACAAAAAUGCUAGAGGAAGGUCAUUCUUUUUAGGAGGAAAAGUUUGUUUUGAGUGUUGUUAUACUCACUCACUUGUCCUAUUUUCUCACUUAACUGACAACUAAAAUAUAGAUGACAAAUCAAUAUAAUGUGGGUGUCGAAAUAGAAAAGAUGAAUGGGUAUGUAUAGUAGCACUAUUUGUUUACUGUCUUUAAUGUAGAUAAUAAUAAGCACCUAACUUGGUUUCCUCAAAUCCUAGCCGUUAAACAGAAAAAUAGAGAGAAAAAACCACUAUACCCAACCCUCUGGUCGGUGGCAAUCCUUGGUUUUUUUUUCCUCUCUUCCUUUUCUUUUUUUUCCUAUCAUCUAAAUUUUUUUUAUCUCCUAGUUGUAGUUGCUCCUUCGCUUUGUCGAUAAAAGCUAUCAUGAUUGUGGCCACUCUCUCGCUAUUUUGAGGGUCUGUUGUAGCGUUUGUGGUCUACUACUGAACCUUGAAUCUUAAAUUGGGAUUGUUGUUCAGCUUUGAGAUUGUGGAUUUUGUGGUUCUCGUAGUUUGUGAGCUUGGAAAGUGAUUAUGAAGAGAAGCUCAACGUUUUUAGAUGCAACUCAUAGGAAUGCUUAUUGCUGACAAUUACAAGUUCAUUCGAAUGGUGUGUGGUUUCCUCGUGGUGCAUUUACGGCAUUUCUCCAACUUACCGUAGGAUUUUAGUUCCCAUGUGUGUUAUCUUCCAUAUUGGGAUCCUCUGCAGCUGAUGAAUUGUAUUGUAUUUUAAUGUUUGUAAUUUUGAAGCCAUGAUUUUCUUUUAGUAUGUGUGCUCUUUUAUUCUUGCUCCAAGGAUUUCCUCUGUGUUUUUUUUCUGGAUAAGGUUUGAUGUAAUACUUACAUUUGAGAUGCAUGUCCUAUAUCAGUUCUUAAUGAAGUUUUAUCUGACCCAUAUACAUAUAUAUAGACAGAGAGUUUGGCCAGGGGCACACGCUUUUGACAUUUUUUUUUUUUUGUUUCACUCAAUAAUGUAUUUCAAGAUUUGAAUCGUCUAUCUUUUAGAUAUUUUUUCAAAGACUAUGUCUACCAAAAAUACCCAAAUCCAAAACCAUAUGACUGUUAGAUCAAAUUUAGUGUUUUUUUUUUAGAACCAUAUUCGUCUAUUUCUUUUAUUGCAAAUGAAUGUCUUAUUGAUUUUGGAUAUGUCUAAUAUUUUGCAAUAAUUGUGUACAAAUGAUCUUCUAAAAUAUAGACGGUUCAGAUUAGUGAAACACAUUACGAAGUGACCCUACAAAGUAGGUAUCAAAAUGUAUGUCAAAAAUGUGUCCUCAGAUAAAAUCUUUUCAAAUUGAAUCUUGCAUCUAAUAAUUGAACGUCUCUACUAACCAUUUUUGGGCCUCUACUAGUUAGGCCUCUAUGGAGGAUUUUUCUUUUUGGGUUGAAACACUUUUAUGUUUUUCUUUUAUGUACUAUUUUGUAACUUCUCAGAAGAACCAUUAUCCAUGCGUUCUAGGGUUAUGUUACUAUGUAAGAUGUAAUUUGUCGGUUGGUCUUUGGUCGUUAAAAGUCUCUACGACCAAAAAAAAAAUGAAAAACUCUCACCGUUCGGUAGUGUUGUUCCAAUAAACUUUUAACAUAUGAUGCAUCAUGCAUUCCUUUUGUUUACUCUUUCAUUUUGAUACCCUUUCUUCAAAAUAUUGAAUCAUUUCAACCCCACACGUUCCCUCUACUUUAAAAGUCAUAACUCGCUCAUUAAAUUAAACAAAAUAUUAAACAAAAAAUUAAACGAAUUACACAAAAUGUAAGAACGAAUGUGUGAUGACUUGCUUCUGUAAGCGUCUUUAAAUAAAUUAAUUAAUUAAUUAAUUAAUUAAUUUAGUUAUGUUUCGAUGCCAACGUUGCUUCGCUGCCAUUUGAUUAUUUCCAAGUUUCUGGCUUUGGGGACUGCCAAAUCCAACUUUGUUACAUCAAGGAAGAUCCGUUGACCAAAUUAUAACAUAUUAUAUGAACACAAAUUAUUUCUGUUUUUUUUUUUUUCUUAAAGAUAGAACUUUAUUAAGAUUAAAUACGAACGGUUACAUUUACAUCUUCUGCAAAAAUAUUAAAAAGAAUUUUGUACAUAUAGAAAUGUGGCGGGGUGUGGGCUACUGCUAAAAGCCUAAAAUUACUUUUUACUAUUUAGUGGGCUAAUUGGGGAUUGUGUGGGGGACUAGGAGCCGAAAACAAAACAAAACCCAAUCCACAAUGGAGGGUGGUAGGCGUAAGUCACUACCACCACUCACCACUCACAUUUUCCCACCAAUUUAAUGCGUCUUCUGGUGUGAGUAUUAAAUGCAGCAGCUGCAGCACCCACCCACCUUCUCACCCCACCCCACCCAAAAAAAAUCACACCCCCCUCCAAUGGCUAAACCCCUCCUUCCCCCUCCCUUCCUCCAAUGUCGUCCACCCCCACCCCCACCUCCAACUCCAACCCCCACUCCCCCACUAAUUAUCUAACUACCCUCGGCCUCGGCUACGGCAUCGCCAUUUCUCUCGGCUUCCUCGUCCUCUUCUCCACCCUCCUCCUCGCCUCCUACAUCUGCUGCCGCGUCUCCCGCCACCGCCACCACCACCACCACCCGCCUCAGCCCCAGAACCCGAAUCCGAGCCCCGAAGGCGUCAUCCUCCCCCGCAUCAUCUUCGUCGCCGAAGACGACAACGAGCAGCAGCAGCAGGAUGAUGAUGGGAACGCCGUCGUCGGGCUCCACCCGAGCGUCAUCAAUUCCUACCCCAAGUUCCCGUUUUCCAAGGAGGCGUCGACCCCCGAUUCGUCCACGUGCUCCAUCUGCCUCUGCGACUACAAGGACGCCGAGAUGCUCCGGAUGAUGCCCGAGUGCCGGCACUACUUCCACCUGUUGUGCCUCGACGCGUGGCUCCGGCUCAAAGGAUCGUGCCCGGUUUGCCGUAACUCGCCGCUGCCGACGCCUCUGUCGACUCCGUUGCAGGAGGUUGUGCCUUUGUCUCAGUACCCGGCCGAUCGGAGAUGGAGGAGGUGACAUAUUGCCCCUGAUUGAUUGAUUGGAUUUCUGUUUUUUUUUUUCACUUUCUUUAUUUAGUUUUGGGUUUUAUUUUUUCUUUCGAUUGUGUUAGUUUUCAAUGGGGUGUGUGGAUUGAGUGGUUGCUUGGUUUCGGGAGAUUAGGAAAUGAAACUUUUUUUUUUUGAGGUUUUGAAAUUGGUGAAGUGGAUUAUGCAACAAAAAACUAAAAUUCAAGGAAUUUAUUUUAAUGUUAAUCAACUGUUUUAUCGAGUGAUGAUAAAGUUUCUGAAUUAUUCUAGUUCACCUAAAGCAUUCAGCUUUUCCGACGAACAACUCUUGUUCAUUAUAUUUGAAUUUACAACUGCUAGUAAAGUAAAGACUGAGUCCCGCUAGACCAACUUGAGCAAAGCAUUCGCCAUUCGGAGAAAGGCUUGUGUUUGUGUUUCUUGCUUGGUAAUACAAAAAAUAAGGGAGUUGUUGUUUCGGCCAAUGCUAAAUUUUGAUAGAAUAGUGAAUCUGCAACUUUGGCAACCCUGUCUGAAUUUGUAAUUUUCAUUUUUCCUUGUUUGAAGGCGUAGUGUUAAUUCCUGGAUUGUAGUGAUUUGAUGGAGAGUCAAUGGUCAUGUGGUGGUCAUGACUCAAACAAUCAUGUACUUUCGAAGUAGCAUAAGACAAAGUUGGCUGCUUUGACAACUAAUCUAACCCUAAACAUGCUAACUACUCUUUUUCUAGUUGCCCUUGCUUGUGCUUUAAUUCUGCUUCUAAUAGGAUUAAAAAGGUCGGACCCAGUGCACAAGGCUCCCGCUUUACGCAGGGUCUGGGAGAGGUGAAUGUCGGCUAGCCUUACCCCUAUUUAUGGAGAGGCUGCUCCCAAGUCUCGAACCCGAGACCUACCGCUCAUGGGCGAAAGCACUUGCUCCCAAGUCUCUAUGAUUCUAUUCUUCUCGAUGGGGGGCCUUCUUUUAUUAUACGACGGAGAAAAAAUCGAAUACAAGACCUUAGUUGAACCAAAAUAAUUUUUAUGCAACGGAAAUACUCUUAUAGUAGCAUCUGUGACUAGAUUAGACGCUUGUAAACGGUUAAGGAACAUUGUCUAACAAAGUCAAAUGUAUGUAUGUGAGCAUAUUGUGCAGUGACAGUACAGCACGUGUUUUUGUGAAGUGUUGCGUCUGAUCCUCUAGUUGUCUCUUGAUCACACUACACCACAAUACUGACCAGUUUUUUGCGGAAUGGAACUGUAUUUCCAUUCAUAUGUUGACUAAUUCACCUCACAUUUUAUCUUGAAUCUCAAGCAAAAUGAUUAAACAAGCCCAGUUGCUUUGACUGGAAUUUGUCUCCCACUUUCUAUAUAGGAAAGUGGUACUGGUAGGGUAGCGAUUUUCGCAUUCCGAUCUUUCCUUCUGCGCUCCUUUCUUUCUUCGUGUUCUUCUGUUCUCUUUUUCUUUAUUCAAUCUAAAGAAAAAAAGAAAAAGGGAGUAAUAAUAAUGCAGUGCGGGAAAAAAUAGGAACACGAGCCUUUAAAAUAAGGAAAACUAAUGAAAAGGGCUUGAAAACUUUGAGUUUUAAUGAUAAGGACAAAAUAAAGGGUAAAGUGAAUAGUAUCAGGAUUGACUUUUUAGUGUAAAAAUGUGGUUUUUCGUUAAAGUGAACAGUACCGGGUGCUUUUCGUUAAAGUUCCCUUUUAAAUAUUGGGAUCGAAAGGAUGGAAAGUAAUGACCACCAUAUUUUUUUAAACGAAGAUCAUCAUUUUCAAUGACUUUUUCAUUUUGAUAUAAAGUGUUCAUAAAGAAGAGAAAUUUUUCAAUGUAUCUAAAAUACGACCGGAACAUUAAAGUUAGUUAUUUAAGUAGAUGAAUACGUGAAAGAAAAUGUCUAUCCACGAAGACCGCCCAAAAACCUCUUUGAUCAAAUAAAAAAGAUGCGAGCUUUAUACUCUCUGACCUCAAAACACAUUUUUAAGGACUUAAUUUUCAUAUCCCAAAACCCAGUUGAACACAGUUUAAGAAAUAUUCUGUUUUCUUGAAAAAAGUUUUCAAAUGUGAACUGUUGAAAAGCACUUCUCAAAACUGCUGCUUUUUUCUAUAGCAGAAAGAUAUGAGGACACCAAAUCUUUUCAAGAACUUAGGAACAUGGAGAGGAGGAGUUCGCAGCUCAAUCUUUGUGUUAAGUGCUUUUGCUCUUCUCAUCUCUAUUGCUACUUUAUCCAAAUUCAACUCUCUCGGAUCGUUUCACGUCACCUAUGCCCUCUGCAGUUAUGUAAACACUGAUCAGAGCCAAAGCAGGAUCGACACCAUGUCACGAAAACUCUCGAAACUGUAAUAAUAAAAUCCAAAUAGAACUUAAGAAGUUCAGAGAUUUGGAACCAAGCCGGGAGAGAUCAGGAUUGGACUCGACUUUCAGCGUUGGAACCGGGACUUUUGCAGCAAGGAUGAGGGAGUUCAAUGUGACUAUAGUCUCAGCAACUAUCAAUCGCGGGGCACCUUUCAACGAAAUGAUAGCACUUCGUGGACUUGUCCCUCUGUACCUGACUAUAAAUCAACGGCUUCCAUUCUUCGAUACACCAUGAGGUUUCUAGACGGGUGGAUAGAUUUUAUGCUGCUGGACUUUGUUCUGUACGAUUGGGAUAGAGUUCUGAGUCCCGGCGGGCUCUUGUGGAUCGACAGCUUCUUUUGUUUGGAGGAUUUGAGUGAUUAUUUGGAAUCCCUGACGAUGUUGAGGUAUAAGAAGCACAAAUGGGUGGUUGUUCCAAAGCUUGAUAAAGAUGAUGAUGAUGGGGAAGUUUUCUUCUCUGCUAUUAGAGAAGCCCGGCAGGCUGUUCCGGUUAAUUACAGAUUGAUCUUAUGUGUCUGAUAAUUACUAUUGAUUUUAUAUGAGCUUAAGUUUUUGGAAUAUGAUGUUAUAAUUGUCAUUACAGUUAGAUGAGAUUGCUGUGAUAGAAGGAAAAUUUUCUGCAAAAUCCAUUUUUGUUUCUUUUGACAAUACGAUAUUACUAAUUAAACUACUCUAAGUUACUGAAUGGGCACUCAAUGCGGGGUGCAAAAGGGUGGAAAUUGUGUUGGUCAACUGGCUUAACUCACGUCACGUAUGCUUGCAAAGUAAGAAUGGUAUAAAACAGGCGGCUCUGCUUCUCAACAGAAGGCAUGAGUUUAGGCAGCCACAAGACACUUUGCAUUGUAGGAGGCAUUAGUUAAUUUUUGAGUGUCCAUUUUUACUUGGUGCAAAUAAGGGUCCACUCAUGUCAUGUUAAAGAAAAAAGACAUUAGAACUGAGGUAGGUUAUCUGGACUUGGAUUCUCUGCCCUCCCAUUUAGGUGCCCUCUCCGUGUCCUCCUGUUUUGUGUGGUCACGGUUAAGCCACGUCAAUAUUUUAUAUUUUUUUUUUUAUAAAAAUAAUAAAACAAAAAGAAAUAGUAAUAUAAAAUGUUGACGUGGCUUAACCGUGACCACAAAAACAGGAGGGCACGAGAAGAGCACAGAAAUUGGAGGGCAGAGAAUCCAAGUCCAGGUUAUCUAGCAUUAAACCUGCCAGGAACCUGUUAAAGUAGCUGACCCAACAGAAAUUCCAAUAGAGUCAUUUGAUUAGAGUAGUUUUCACACCAAGUGAAAUCAGAACGAGGUCGAGUGUCCAAAUCAAAAUGAUCUCAUGUUUUAAUCAUUGUCCCUUGUUCGAUGAACUUAAUAAUGAUGGCAACGAACACAACUGGUGAACUGCUCUACUAAAUAAAAUCUUCUUCUUUAACCCGCUGCGUCUCAGGUUCAAAAAUACGAAUCCAAAGCAAUAUGGAAGGGCCUUUGAGAAAUGGGGCAGAAGGAACCUUUGUGAUUGAUGGGCCUGAGGCCCCUUGUUAUAAUUGGCUAUCAGCCUAUCACUCUAGCUGCAUUUCUUUUUCGUUUGCAAAUAACUGGCUGGAUUUAUGAGUGUCCAUUUGUUGUGACCGUGAGUCGAAAUAAAGUAGCCAGUGAUUGCAUAUUCUCCCUCCACUGGUCCACCAUGAAAGAUUCGAAAGAUGCCAGGGCCCAGGCCAACCAGCAAAUAUGUCAAAAAAAAAAAGAUUCUAAACAACAACAAAGUUAAAAACUUUAAAGUUUUGCAUGACCCUCUUCUAAAGUUUAGAAUAAUACAAAUUUAUCUAAUUGGAGUGAUGAUAAGUACGAUUUACAAAGGUUGAAUAACAAUCACUUUAGACUUUAGAGUGGAGGUGAAAAUUUUUGGAGUUUAAAUGACAGCUUUUAAUCGUAAAUAUGUAUUUUGUGUAAAUUAAAGGAAUAAGAUAAUGUUGGGGAUGUAAUAUUCAAAAUCUUCAUGUGAGAAAUAAAUAAAUUCAUAACUUCUUAGCCACACUAUAAUUUUAUUCAACUUUAAAAGAUUUUAGUAACUUAUACAACUAGUUGUAUAUUGGUUGUAAAAUAAUAAAGUUCAGGAUUAAGUUGGAUGUAAGAAAUAAAAUGUUGUCACAUCAUUUAGGAUAUGAGUUGUGUUGGAUUGGAUUGCUUAUGAAUUUUGUUUAAAUAAAAUAAAAACUUUUGAACGUUGAAAUCUUUAUAUGGGAAAACUAAGUCUUUUGGGAUUAACCCAAGUUAGGAUUAAUGUUUUUUAAGGAGUUAUAAUUAAGUCAAGUAAGAGUUUAAUUCUUGAGCCCUCUCGAGCAAUAACCUCAAGAAUAAACUUAAAUCUCCUUAAGUCAUGAGUAGCUGAUUUUUCGAGACUCUCAAAAAUAGGCAAAAACUCUUGAAUAUGUUCAAAUUUUGAGAAAAAUUUACAAUACUCCACCACUUGAAACUCUUAGAUCCAAUUCAAGGGUAAAUAAUUGUAUAAAAAAAUUGCAAAAAAUUAAAUGGUUUUAAACCUAUUUACCUAAUUCGUCUUUGUAGACUUUUUCUACUAUAUUCGCACUCACAAUUCACUUUCUUUCUUAGCCUCAAAAUUCUAGGGCUAUUUUUAGGUAAAUUAAAGCUUACCUUGACAAGCUCUUAUCACCUAAACCAACCAUUUAAACACCACCAAAUCAUCAAUUAAGUUUUCCCUUUUUUUUCCAUUUCUUGUCUAUUAAGUUACCACAAUUUUAAUUUUUAAAAUUCUAAAUUUGACCCCUAAUGCCUCCCCAGCACAAAAAAUAAAAUAAAAUAAAAUUCGUUGGACAAUACUACCCCCAAUCUGGAUCCACCUCCACCCCACCAUCACAACGCGGAGCCCUAUACGAUGGGAGUGGACCCCACAAAGAACCCAACCAAAGGAAAAAAAAGUCACCCGACCGUCCAAGCCACGCAUGUCCUCACUGCUCCCCGCCACCUGGUUCGCAACCUUUCAAACCAGGUCGGUCACUUUGUUUCAAAUUUCCCCCGAACCAACCGGGUCCGGACCCGAACCUCCAGCCUCGCGCUAAUCAUCAAAAUUAACGGCCCAGAUGUGACCUCUUUUCCCGCACCCUUAUAUAUCCCCGUUCCUAUCCCAACCCUAAAACCCUACUUACUGUCCGUGCUAUCAUUUCCGUUACUCGUCUGAGCGUUUCGGUGCGAUUUUUAUAUACUUUUUCAACUUUUCGGGUUCCGGAUCGGGUUUGGAGAUCAUGGCCGAUGAGAAGGAACACUCCGGAUCGACGGUGGAGGAUGAGCCAUCCCUGUUGGAGAAGAUGGGCGACAAGAUCCACGGCGGUGAUCACCAUUCGUCCUCGUCCUCUUCUUCCGACUCGGAUAACGAGAAAUCGGAGAAGAAGACCGAGUCGGUGAAGGCCAAGGUUUUCCGGAUUUUCGGCCGUGAGAGGCCGGUUCACCAUGUGCUCGGCGGUGGAAAGCGUACGGACAUCUAUUAUCUUUCUCUGAAGUUUUUACUUCCACUACUAUUUGAAAUGAAUACAUAUAUAUAUUAUUUGCGAGUAGUGAUUUAGGGUUUUAGGAAGUUUGGAUUACUGGAUUUGUGUCGGUUGUAUGUUGAUCUGGGAUUUUAGAUGCUUUUAAGCUGUGUUUGGAUGCUUAGAAAAUUUCUGAGCCGAUCGGAGUUUUUCUUUUUGAUUAUCUAUUGCUGUGCUUUAUCGGAUAAGUUGAGUAGUUCCGAUCGGUGAAGUUGAUCUACUAAUUAGUUCAUUAAGUUUUGGAUUCUUCGAUUCCUUUUUCAAUAUUGCAUUAGACUUUGGAUUUUGGAUUUUGGAUUUUGGAUUUUGACGUUGGUGAACUGUUGCAGCUGCUGAUGUGUUCUUGUGGAGAAACAAGAAGGUUUCGGCUGGAGUUCUCAGCGGAGCCACCGUCAUCUGGGUCCUCUUCGAGUUGCUUCAGUACCACCUGCUUACACUUGUUGGCCACAUUCUGAUUGGUGCCCUUGCAAUCUUGUUCCUCUGGUCCAAUGCCCAUGCUUUUAUCCACAAGUAAGGCGCUCGGCCUUUUCGAUUUCAUUGUUUCAUUGUCCGGAUGCUUGUGUAGGAUCUCAAUGUAAUAUAUGGUUAUGUUUGGAUCACUGCCUAAUGGGUUAAUAACUUUGCUUGUGUAGGACUCCUCCUCGUAUCCCUGAAGUUCGCCUUCCUGAAGAACCAUUCCUGCAGGUUGCAUCUGAGCUGAGAGUUCAAAUCAACUGUGCAUUUGCACUGCUUCAUGAUAUUGCAUCUGGGAGAGACUUGAAGAAAUUCCUCGCUGUAAGAAUAUUUGAUCUUUAUAACUCUUUAACACGUCUCCCAAUCAGUAUAAUGUGACUUGAUUUGUUGCUUUUAUUCGUUCGAAACUCAGUAGCUUAAUUUGCAUACAUUACCUGUCAUGGAUUAAUAGCAUUUAGAAUCUGUGCCAUGCUAAAUUUCAUCCUUUAAGUUACCGAGGUUUCGUUGAUUUUGUUGUAUGGUUUUGUUUCUCUGUUAGUUUAAUGAUGUACUGUCGGUUUCAGGUUAUUGCUGGCUUGUGGGUUCUAUCCGUUGUGGGCAAAUGGUGCAACUUCCUGACCUUGUUUUACAUAUGUAAGGGCUAUGGAGAACUUGUGUGUGCUUUUGAUGCCCAUGAUAUAUUGUUAUGUCCCUUAUUAAUGUCUGGCCUUGUUUUACAGGCUUUGUUGUGCUGCACACCGUGCCCGUCAUUUAUGAGAAGUACGAAGACAAGAUCGACCCACUCGCAGAGAGGGCGACUAUCGAGUUCAAAAAGCAGUAUGCCGUGUUUGAUGCCAAGGUUUUGAGUAAGAUUCCGCAUGGUCUAAAAAACAAGAGGUCUUAGAAAGCUUGGGGUGUUAUGUUGUGUUCUAAAGCUCUAGGAUUCGUAGUUGAGCUUCCCCUUCUGUUCAAGUGUUUUGGGUUUGUAAUUUGAAUGACUAUACUCAUGUGGUCAAGUUUCGAGAAUUAGGUUCCGUUCUUGUGCUUAUACAUAAUCGUGGGAAGCCAUUAAACAGCAGCUUACCCAUAUUUCAAUUAGGAUGACUUUAUGUUAUUCAAUGCUGCUUUACGUUGUUCGUCGAUUAGUGUUUGAACUGUUAUGGUGUAUAUUAUUUCAUGCUUGGUUCUCUUUUUGGUUGUGAGCAUGAUACUUCGGUGCUUAAGUUACGAUGAACGACUAAUUUUUGUGUUGAUAUUACUUGUGGUUCAAGUUGAUUAUUUCUUGUUCGUUAUAAACAAAACAAAACGAUGGUGUUUUUCUUCAAAGCCUUAUUCCGACAUUUUUCUUGUAACUUGGUGUUUGAUAGGAUUGAACAUUUUUUAGUGACCAAUGCAUCCGCCUUCGAAUUUGAUUGGUAAGAUUGAAUUGAUGGGGCUCUUAAGGACUUUGUCAAAACCACCUUUACAGCUAGUGCUAGAUUCAGUGGCAAGGAUUUAGAACUAGGUGCCAUGAAACAACAGGAUUGCUUAUUGACAGGCAAUAAAUCACGGCAUGCCACUUGCAACUUAUAUGUUUUAAAUAUAUUUAUAUGCGUAAAUUGACAAAAGGAAAGUCAAAUAUUUGAAAUAAAUGAAUAAUUUUAGAUCAUGCUAAAAGAAAUAUCUCAUAAAUCAAUUAAAGCAGUUAAAUUCACAUAAUAAAAUCGGUCUUUAUAGAAUUUACAUUAAAAAUAGAGAAAAUAAUAUAUAUUAAACAAUUAAUUGAAUCAUAUUAUUGUUAGCCUAAUGUGAGGCUAAGCCCACCUCCUCUCUCUUAGUGUGCAUAAUAUUGCUUAAUUAAAAAAAAUAAUAAUAAUUUGACAAUUAAUUUAAUCACAUUAUUAUCCGUGUGCGAAAUAUCUUUUUUAUAACCGGCAUUAUACGCCUCUUAAGAUGUUUUAAACGCGUUUAAAAAUAAAGAAAAUAAUAUUUAAUAAAUAACUGAUGAAUCACAUUAUUGUUAGCCCAUUGUGAGGCUAAGCUCAUCUCCUCUUCCUUAGUGUAGAUAAUAUCUUUUUUAUAACCGGCAUUAUACGCCUCUUAAGAUGUUUUAAACGUGUUUAAAAAUAAAGAAAAUAAUAUUUAAUAAAUAACUGAUGAAUCACAUUAUUGUUAGCCCAUUAUGAGGCUAAGCUCACCCCCUCUUCCUUAGUGUAGAUAAUAUUGUUUGUUAAAAAAAAAAACAAUCAUUUGAUAACUUAUUUAAUCACAUUGUUAUCCACAUGUGAAAAAUAUUUUUUAUAACCGGCAUUACAUGCCUCUUAAGAUGUUUUGAACGUGUUUAAAAAUAAAUAAAUUGAAUCACAUUAUUGUUAGCUUAUUGUGAGGUACUAAUUAAAAAAGUAAAUUAUUAAAGAAAUAUUGUUAAAAUGACGAAAAUACCCCUACCUUAUUUGAUGUAUUAUUUUGGAAUGCCUUUGAAGUUUUUUGUUUUGGAGGCAUUUUUGUCCAAAUAUUUUUGUUGAAUGGGAAAUUUUAUUUGAACCCAUGUAAACUCUUUCUACACCCAACUUAAAUUUAAAUUGUUAAUUGUCUAUUUUUCCGUAUUGCAUAAUUACUAUUAAGUACAAAAUGAAAUUAAUAAUAAAACUCAAAAUCAAUAAACCCUUUAAACCCUACAAUUUAUCCUAUGUUUAUUCUGGCUAAAACCCUAAUGGGAUGUUUGGAAAAAUAACCAGAAUUUUGAUCUCAUAUAAAAUUAUAACCAAUAUUUUAAGUUUAUGAUAAAUUUAUACAAAAUUGAUAUGAAAAUACUAAUAUACCCUUAUAACAAAUAAAAACUUCUUACUUCCGUGUCAACUUAACCACUGCAAGCAUGCAUGCAUCGUCAAUCUCUUCCGUUCCACAAUUCUUGCAAUCACCGGCUAAAACCCUAAUGGGAUGUUUGGAAAAAUAACCAGAAUUUUGAUCUCAUAUAGAAUUAUAACCAAUAUUUUAAGUUUAUGAUAAUUAUAACCAAAAUUUGAUAUGAAAAUACUAAUAUACCCUUACUAACAAAUAAACUUCCUGAUUUGUUCUUACCGUGAAAAACUACCACUGCAGCAUGCAUCGUCAAGCUUUCCGUUCCACAAUUCUUGCAUCACCAGUGCUGCAUACUUGCCACAUAAUUCAUGUACUAUUUGACCAAUGGUAUCGAACACUAAUGCAUGAAUAAUCAGAAAAUACACUUCUCCAUCUAUGAACUGAAAUUUGGAUCUGUUUUCCCAAAUUUUAUUAUUAUUGGGCUAUUAAUCUAUUAAUUUUACCAUUUUGUUCUUAAUAAAGUUGUAAUCUUUCUACAAUUUCUAACCAAAUAAUAAUAAAAUGUUCGUUUCCCAAAAUCUCCAUCAAAACAUGUGGACAAGGAAGCCUUCAUACACAAACCCAAGAUCCUGCUACCACUUCUCAGCUUACAAUCAUGGCUGCAACAGCCAAAAAUCCCUCAAAGUUCGCUCCGGACAAACGAACAACCUUUUGGGUUCACAAAAUAAAGAUAUCCAGAUGUAGUUUCUGCAAUGGGUUUGAAUAUAUACUUUAUAUUUGCUUGAUUUGCUCUUUGGGUUUUGUGUUCGAAUCACGUAACUCUGUAUACCUACUUAGCUAUGUAACGUGCUUAGGAAAUUUAAUUUUAAAGGUAUAUUAGUAUUUUUAUAUUAACUUUUAGUUAUAAUUAUCAUAAACUAAAAAAGGUGGCUAUAAUUCUAUAUGAGAUCCAAAUUUUGGUUACUUUUCCAAAUUUUCCAACCCUAAUAGAUCAUUUAGAGAAAAACAAGUUUUUUUUUAUUGAUGGAUGGUGAUUUUGAAGUUUUGAAUCCUCGACUCAAUUUAUGAAUAUUUUGUUCAUUUGAUUUCAAUUUUUAUAAAGUUCAGAAGAUGAGUAUUUGGGUUUCAAUUUUUUUCAUCAAUCCCGAAUGGUUUGUAAACUUUCUGCAAUUGGAAAAUUCUAAGGAAAAACUUCCUACCAAUGUUCUUAGUUUAUAAACUUCUUUGCUUGUUGAUAAAUAUAAGGGGAUAAAUUAUUUGAUUUGUUUCUUAUGCACAUUAGUAGAAAGAAAAAAAGACAAAUGUCUGGGUUUGGUAGCAUAACGAAAAAAAAAAAAAAAAAAAGUAGCCAUGGAAAUGCUACUAGGAAGAGGGGGGUGGGGGCAAGGACACCUCUUUUUUUUUUUUUUUUUUAAAUUCAAUUACAUGUUAUUUUAUAAAGGGAAUGGGUGUAGAGAUAACCUAGCAUUUUGAAUUGGGUUUGAGAGGGUAGUUCAAAUAAUAAAUUUGGGUUUAAAGAGAGAUUAAUUCUUUAAUAAAAAACAAUAUGGAUGAAGAGAGUAAGUUUGGUGUAGAAAGAGGUUACAUGUGUUCAAAUAAAAUUUUCCAAUCACUAUUCACCUUUUCCAUUCUCUUUAUAUAUAAUAGAUAGAUAUUUGAGAUUUAACUGUUGGAUCUUUCUAUUUUUAAUCUCAACAAUUCAUUUACAAUUGAAGAAAAUUGUAAUUAAGAUUGAAAGCAUGUUUCACUUCAGGAUGGGUGGAUAUUAAUCUCAUACAUGAAUGGUGGAUAUUAAAUUUAAUCUCAUACUUGAACGGCUAGGUAUCAUUCUCAUUCACAACUUCUUUCAUUUUUCGGUAUGGAAUUUUCCACAUGCUCCUUUUCUUCUUCCGACUCAUGUUUAUUUCUGACAUUCAAUUGUAUAAGCAAAGUACAAUCAAGUGACAUACGGAAAUCAACAUAUGUGCAUAGUCAUUUCUCUUCUUAGAAAACGGAAAAAAACUUGUACGGAGCUUAACUUGUCACUCAAUCAUGUUGAGUGACACUACACACCACUUAUAACUUGCGAGGUGUUUAUACAUUAAAUGAUUUCUUUUUUUUUUUUUUUUUAAACUUAAAGCAUUAUUCCUUCAAGAAACUAGUUAAAAUAAAACUCACAACCCCAUUUCAACCUUCCUCCACCUGCAGACUGCGCCUAUGGACUCUUCUCUCUUGUCGGCCGGUGUCUCCAACGCCGUCAAUUCUCCCCCCUUACUACUCAGCUCCCCCUUCGUUGAUUCCCCCAUCUCUCAUCUUUCUUUCUCAUGAUUGCUUAUAAAUGAUUCAAUCUCACAUCAAUAGCGCAUGGUAGUUGAGAACUGGGAACUACAAACUGGUGAAGGAAGGUGUCUUUGUAUCUUUGACAGUUGGGUUCUUCACCAGAAUUUGUGUGUCCAUGAUAAUUAUUCGAUCAUUUAUAUAUAAAAAAGAAAAAUGAAAAAGUGAGGUUACUCAGAAACCUAAUUCAUUUAAGAUGAUUUAAUGAACCAUUAAUUACACAAAUUUUACACAAUUUCUCAGCAACCAUGCAAGGCCGUGAGGAGAGAACCUUGUGAUUGUGCUGGUGUCCCUCAAAGUCAGGCCUUUUAAAAAUUCACUUUUCCAUAUAGUUUUUAUUAAUUGAUUAUCGCCAAAAGUAAAUUUGAAUCACAUUAUUGAUAGUCUAUUGUGAGAUUAAUCAUAUCCCUUCCUCUUAGUGUAAAUAAUAUCAUUUGUUAAAAAAAAAAAAGUUGAAAAUAAGAAUUAUACUUGCACAACUCUGCCUAACACAUGGCAAGUUAUGAAUGGUGUGGUAGUGCCGCUCAGUAUGAUUCAAUGUCAAGCCAAGCAGCACACCUGAUUAUUCCAGAAGACGCGCCCAUGCAUGACUUCCAAGUAGGGAGGAAGAUAAAUAUGGCACAAAAAUAAGUUCCAAGUAAAUGUGAGCAAUCUCUGAUAUAAAUUAUAUCGUUUCCGAAGUAGUCAUUGUUUUUAGGUCGUGCACAAAGACAUCGUCGAACGUCCCUUUUGAAUUUACAUCGUCAAACAGGCCCCAAACCUAAAAUUACCAGGCAGCUAUGCAGAAACUGGUAUGGGUGAAAGAAUUGAUGGAACAAGAUUGGGUGUCUACAAAAUCAAACAAUGAUCUAUACCUUUGAUUAAUUACAAGAUACAACACAAUUUCAAUAUCUCGGAAGCAUUCUUGAGGCGUACGGAUUGCUUUCUGACGAAGUGAGAGGAACUGUUGAGAAUUCCGAAUCAGAGUGCUCCAACCGAAAAUUACUGCGAAAAGGUGAGGGGCUUGUGUCUUGGAUUGGUGAUAAAUUAGUUCUUGAGAAACCAGGCUCACCCCCACUAGUUGUUCUGUGGUCAGGAUUCGAUGGACCGGUAUGCGAUUUGGUUGGAGUUCUAUAUGAAUCUUCUUGAGAUCUGCCUGAAUCGUCGGCCAACUCCCGUCUCUCCCUUUCUUCAGUUUCUUUGAGAAGAAAAUCAACCCACAGAUCUGCAAAGGACUGGAGUUGGAAGGGAACAAUGUUAGUGGAAGAAUCCAUGAACCAAAUUCGGAAAUAACAGUUUAAUGAACCCACUUGGAUAAAGGAAACGCUCUAGGAACAAUUUUCCGGGCAGCUUAUUGAUUCAAAUUUAAAAGCUAAUAGAGAACGAUGCUUAUGCAAGGUAAAACAGCACUAGCUGGAGAUUCAAGUACGCCAAUUAAUCUUGCCAUCGAACGGAGACAAAUAAGUACCUGGUUAUCAGCUGCUGCAUUUGCAGAUAAUCCAGCUGAACCGCCUCCCAAAAUUCCACCAACAAGGCGACCAGGUAGAGAGAAAACUCCACGAACAACACCUUUGCCUGCACCUUGAGAGACGCCUAUUCUCUGCUUGUCUUCAUCAGGGAAUCCCAGCAUGCGAGCCAUAAGAUCCAGAACCUGAAGAGCCACAUAAAAAUUACGUGAGUCUGCUUACAGAAAAUAAAAGGAGAUAACCAGGUUUAAAAAGAAGGGCAAAACUUGUGUCCGUGGUGCAUAAAACCUUAGUUGGGUUAGGGAACUGACCAAUGAAAAAUUAUUAAAUUCUAGCAGAAACUGAAGAAAACAGCAAGAACACUUUUGGUAUUACCCCACCAUAGCUAGUCUAAAUAAAUCUUCAUACCUCUUUACUGUGGUUUCUCUGGAAGUAGGUCACCAGUAACUUGAUCACAAUGCGUCUGUGAACAAAACCAAUCUUCAUUAAUGAAACAGCUUUAAAAUAAAGUAUGUAAACAAAAAAUAUACCAAUGAUCCUUAAUGACAAUAGAAGAAAACACUUCUCUGAAAAAGUAAGAAGAAAGAAAAAGGUAAAAUGAAAGAAAGAAAAGAAGGUUGGCCUCUACUUGAGGCAUGAGCCAUAACUGAAAAUUGAACACAAAACGAACACCAAUACUCUUAUCUACCCUAAAACCCAACAGAAGGCCAACCAAAAAGUUAAACAGACCAACCUGUCAACAAGAUAAUCUGAAUCUACCGACAUCCUAUUAAGCCUGGUCAUGCUCUGCUCAACAGCUCGGCGUAAUUUUGCAUUGUCUUCCUCAAGUUUAUUUACUCUGCUUUUCCAAUCUACUACUAUUUUUUCAGCUUGUGAAAGCUUGGACAAAAUUUCUUCCUUUUCUUUCUUUGAUGCUUCUGCCUGAUGGUCCGCUUCCUGGUAGAAUCAUAAACAUUUAAAUUCUGAUAUGCUUAUGCCUGCGUGUGUGAGCAAUAUGUGUGGGUGCAUGUGCGAGAGCAUGUGUGUAUGUGUGUAGGUGUGGGGGGAAGGGAGGGCUCCAGUUUUAUGCAAGUUAAACAUUGUGAAUUAUAUAGUACCAACCAUCAGAAUAUACAGAGCUUAAAUUCGUGUAAGUGAUGCAACUUUAUAUGAUAUAAUCAUGUAAGGAUUUAUCUUCUUGUACUUAUCGUCUCUAAGACUAUCCUCAACAAACAAAACAAGUAUGAUUUGCUAAUCACAGUGAUGGAACACCAAUGUAAUAAAUGUACUGAAAGAAAUAUUAUAUAGCACAAGAAGCAAAUUAGAAAUUGCAUACUCAGACAAAAUAUGAAAAUGCAAAGGAAAAAAAAAAAAAGCAAUCAUACUUUCAAGAGCCGCGAAAGCUUAGCUGACUCUUCCCUUGCCCGAGACAAAUCUCCUUCCAAAUGUUCCUAUACAUAAAAGGAAACUAGCAUCAAAAUAAUAAUCUCGGGAUUCAUACAUCAACACAAAACAUUCCAAAAUGCCUUCCUUGAUAAUUCAAUAGGCAGACAAACAAAAUUUACAUUUGGUUACCUUAGCUUCAAUUUCAGCAUAGUACUGACCAAGAGCAGUUUGAAGAUUCAAGAGUUCAACAUUUUUGGCAUCUAUUGUGCUCAUGCAGCUUUCAAGUCUUUUAUUCAGAUCAGCAAUAACUUCCUUUGAUUUCUGAAUUUCAUUGUUGUUGCUCAUCUUGAAUUGGUCCUGAUUUGCAAUUGCCUGAUUCAAAGCUUUCUCCAAAUGUAAAAUUUGAGCUCUUCGAUAUUCGUUACUUUCUCGAAGUUCUUCAAUAAUUUUGCUGUCUUCAUCCAUUUUUUCAGAAUCUUCAGAUUCCUAGAGAAGGUAUAUGCCAUAUGGAAAAAUCAGUCAUCAAUUCUGCGAGACAUUUUCAUUUAGGAAAUACAGGAUGUAAAACCCACCAAAAAUGUUUCCCAAAAAAAACAAAAAAAAAAGAUAAAAUGAUUUGGGUCCAUCUUGAACCUGAUUCAAGGAUCAACUCAGAAUUAAACCACAAAUCUGUCACCUGAUUUUGAAAUAAAGAAAGUUUCAUCAUAUAUCUACCCCAUAAGAGCUCCCAAUUUUUGUAAAUUACGGAUAAUGAAGAAUCCCUAGAUGCUGGAGACAUCUACCCCAAAACAUAUCUCAAGAAUUCUAAAUUCUCAAUUUGUCUCCAAUAGUGAAUAUAUAAUAUUUGCAGAAGAUGAUAUGUAGUGUCAAAGUUCAUAUAUUAGCAGAAUAUAUCAUACAAAAACAAGCAUAGGUCCAUUUUUAUAAACAGUCAAUAAAUAUCAAAUAAUUUAACACAAUAUCAGAUAACUUAACACUCUUUGGUUUAGUCAUCAGAUUUUCUGCCAAGGGUAAUACAAAACAGUACAACAGCCCGCAGUCACUAUCUAUUGUCUCCCUCAUUAAACUUUUGUUAUUAAUGGUCCCUUCAAAAACCAAGUGCAAUAGCGUUCUAGGAUUCAUUUAGCCGACCCCACUCAGUGGGAUAAGGCUUGGUUGUUGUUGUUGUGUAAUGGUCCCUUCAAUAAUGGCUGUGCAAUAGAGAGAAUAAUCCACUGAAAAUUAUCCUCACUCACAAUCCCAUCAAUUUCAUUGUCAAAUGGACCACAAUGCGAAUAGUAAAUAUUUUUCAUUUAAUAUCAUGUCAGGCACCGCAAUGUGAAUAAUGAAUAUUUUCAAGACAUGUAACCUUUUCCAACAAAUGCUGUUUAAGGCGUGACAAUUGUUGCAAGGUUUUGUCCCUUUCAAGACGUGUUUCCUUCAAAUUUUUAUCAAACUCUCGUAACGAUUUCUCCAUUUCUUCCUUUCCAGGAAAACUUUCUGAAGAUUCCACCUUCUGCACAAAAUUUUAAAAUACUGAUAAUAAGCAGAAGAAUUGCUGUCAAAGUACAAAGAACUGAGUUAUGUUAAAACAUACAAUCGCACCCACACCUAAUACACAAAGGGAGAGGGAUUAAGAAAUAGGAUGCCAUCCUAUGCAGGAAAAAAGUAAUAAUUGUUUUCCCCAAAAAUUCUCAAAACAAGAUUACCUGCAUUUCACUUGCAGUUCUGCUCACUUUCAAAGCGCCCUCAAGUUCAUUUUUCUCCAUCUAUGCAAUGACAUAGUAUUAGGGUUGAUUGUCAAAGUAACACAAACUCUCGUAAAAAAAGGUAUGACAAAAUAAAGCACCAAUUAUCAACCUUAAGACUAUUAUUUUCCUUCUGCAGGGUUGCAAUUAACCUUUUCAAACUCUCUGCACCAUUAUUUGCAUUUUCAUCCUCCCUUCUAUUCAACUCCAUUUGCAGUCGAUUUAUCUCAGACAUUUUCUCAUUCAACUCACUGCUUAUUUUGCUUAUCUCGACGGAGGUCUUCCAAAAGAAAGUACAUGCAUGGUGAAAGACAGAGGUCAGAGCACCAAAAAGUGGAACAUAAAUGUACACAUACAGCUGCCCUCAUAAAUACAGCCCUUGAUGUCUGAAAGAAAGUAGAGGAAUUUUUUUUUUUUUUGCAUAUUUCCUAAUUAAAAUGGCAAUGAUGCAGUGUAGAGGAAACCCGCAUAUAUUACACAGAUAUAUCAGUAGAUUGAUACAAAUAGACAAUGCAAAAAUAAUGAGCAGUCAAAUAUAUGCAUCUAAUAUCAAUGUCUCUGUCCAACUUUGAAACUCACCUUUUCCCUAUCCAACUUCAGAAAUUUGAGCUCUUCCUGGAUUGCUUCAUUCAAUUUCUGUUGUUCUGUGAAUGGACGAAGAUUGAAUAAAAAAAAAUUAGAUAAAUGGUUGAGAUGACUUGUAGAAUUCCUUCUGAAUCUUGCACAGCAAUGUACCUUGUAACUUUUGAUGUAUCUUUUCUGACUGAUUGCGUUCUUUUUUAAGUUCCAUCCGUAAUUUUUUCAUCUCAGCAGUAGCUAGCACUGCUGUCGGGGACCUAUUAUUCUCUUCUAGUAAAUCUGCAAGCUCCUAGAAGGCAUUUAUACAUCUGUUGUCAAGUUCUUUCACCAUUAAAAGAAAAUAGCAUACUGGAGAUCCAAAAAAUAAAUUCAAAUUCUAACUACAGCCAAAACUGCUUUGGAUAUCUAUUAUGGGUUUCAGUCUAUACAGAAUUCCGGGGGUUAUCUUAUUCUAGUAUUUGGUUCGAUUGGGAAGCUUUUAUAAUCUAGGUUGUGUGGUCCAUGUUUAUGUCAUAGUGGAUACUGCCUUAGAAUAUUUGCUUCUAUGAUUUUUUCUAAUACUGUUUCUGUCCAAGUUGUGGCCAUCUUGUCCACUCCUUGUGUAAUUUUAUUGAUUCAUUCAUUUCUGUUUGUGGUAACAGAUCAUAGAAAGAAAAAACACUAAUAAAAAAAAGGAGACAGGUAGAUCUAACCGAAAUAGAAAAGAAUACAAGGUGCAUUACCCUUUCACUCCCUUGCAUAUCUGAAAGCUGUGAAAUCCCAUUGCUUGUACUGUCUUGUGUAAAGACAACACCAUUCUGUUUCUGAUGUCCAGAGUAUCCAAUUUUUGCUGGACUUGUCACUUUAUGCUGUCUGUUGGGCGACUGAUUACCACUUCCCUGAAUAAAUUUGAAGCUAACUUAGCCAAUUAUCAGAGCUCGAGGACAAUCAAUGACGACAACUAAGUAAAAACAAUUCUUGCUAACUCAAUAAAGUAGCACAUAUAAAGGUCGUACCCAGUGCACAAGGCUCCCGCUUUACGCAGGGUCUGGGAGAGGUGAAUGUCGGCUAGCCUUACCCCCAUUUAUGAAUGUCGGCUAGCACAUAUGAAAUUAUUAAAUAAUAUGGAAGCAAUUAAACCACUCCAUAAAGGGGUUGAGGAUCUGGAACUCUGCUAUGCCAGUUAAAUACACCUCUCGAUUCAAGUACCUUAUUAAUGCCCUUCUUACUAAAUGUUCAGAUAACUAACACGCAGACCAAAUAUAUAUAUAAAUAACAAGUAGCCAGUAUCUUAAAUAUAUACCUUCUGACCAAUAAACCUUGUGCUAUAUGAUAAAAGAAGUAUCAUAAAGAAGUUUAUGAUUUAAUUGAAGCUAACCACUAAGUACUAGCAAACUUACUGAACAGACUCAUUGCAAACAAUGUUAAUGAUGACGCAAGUAGAUUUUGUCAUAACAACUACCUUGAGCACGUUGACUCCAUUUGCAGCUGCUUUGUGAUUUUCAUUUUUAGCUGCAUUCAGAGAUGCAGUAGUUGAGUCCAGAUUCUGUUUCAAUGAGCCAUUUUCUUUACUCAAUCUGGAUAUUUGAUCCUGUCAAACGGGAGGGUUUCCAAAAGUCAAAAGACAUGUUGUAAUAUAUUUUAUUAAGAUGCCACCCCAUACAGAAUAUAAGGUGUACGAAUCCAACCACAGGAAUACAGAAUAUAAGGAGCAUGGAUCCAACUAAAGAUACUCCAUCAAACAACAUAAACAAAAAGGAAGUAAUCAAUAGUAUAAUUUCCCUAGAGUCAUCGGGUACCUCUUUUUCCUUUAACAGAGCUGCAUAGUUUUUUGAUAAUGCUUUUAUUUCUGCCUCAGAUUCCUGAAGCCUCUUAAUUUCCAAUUUGCAUUGUUCAAUCUAAUUAAAGAAGGAAAAAAAAAGUGCAGAUUAGAAUAUCAUAACAUACUCCAUCUGAUAAAGCAAACCAAAUAACAGCUGCGAAAGAUGAGAGACGACAUGAGCAGUGACCAGUGAAGGUGAUAUUAAAACAUAGGGCACGACGCCACCAAAAGCUAGCAAAAUGUAGACUUUCACACUUUGUCACCACAAUUCUGAAUCCGGGCUUAGAUCAAGUAUAAUGUGAUAGACUCUGCCUAUUUCUGCAUUUGCACCAUCGCACUACAGUUGCUAAAAGUUUAGCAAUUUGACCAAUAAUUGCUUAACCAAUAACACUUAAUAAGACCUGCUAACAGGAAUUAUCUCGCUUACUAAUUACUAACCAUUGAUUCCCUUUAAAUUCUGUAUGCUCUCAACCUAAACCGCAAAUUAAGAGGAACCCCGCAUUUCAAUACGAAAAUGAACCACAAUUUGCAAAUCUACCUCCAUUUCGAAGUUUGAAUUUGUAAGACACACACCGAUGCCAAAUGAUUCAAUGUUUCACUAACAUAAUAACCAAAUUCUCAGCUAAAAAACACAUAAUCCUAAAUCCACACUCAUCGAAAUCGAUCCAAGCAUUCAUUAACAGCUCUAAAACCCAAAUGAACAAAUGACCGACACUAAAAUAAUUCCCUAACCCAAAAAAAAUCCCAAAUUACCCACGUUUCCAAGAAAAAAAAUCACAAACCUCGGGAGUAAUAGUAAAAUCGACGCCAUUGGGGAUCGGAGAGCGGGAGGGGGAUUUGGAAUGGGCGAAGCUGUGGGAAUUCCUCCGAUCAGAUAAGGAAUAAGCUUUUUCUCCAUUGAUGGCGUGGAUCUCGUACUCUUCGUCAUCGUCGUCGUCGUCGUGGACGUCCUGCGCCAUCUUGUUAAGAUUCUCCUUCAGGUUCGCAAUCGUGCUCCACAUCUUUCAAAACCCUCGCAAAUACCAGCAAAUUCAAAUAUGCGUGGCUGCUUAAUCUGAAGAAAUCGGGCGCCAAAAUCGUUGGAAAGUCGGAGGUGAAAUUUCUUGGACUGGGGAUUGAAAUUUGGGAUAUGGGUAGAUCUGAGGGGGGAGAGGAAGGAGCGAAGCGAAGAGGUGGAAUUUCGUAAUUAGAUUUCGUUUUUAUGGUUAGAGGACACGUUUUGUAACUUAUGAAAUGUCAUAGGUUGGUAACGCUAUUUUUUUAUUUAUAAACAAACGAUAUUAUCCACCCUAAAAAUGAGAUGAUGUGUUUAGCCUCACAAUGAACUAGUAAUAAUGUAGUUCAAAUUUACCUUUGCUGAUAAUCGAACCUAAUGGCUCUUAUCUACAAGUACAGAGAAAUACUACUAGACUAUAGUAUUAAGUGGCUUAUUAGUAACGCCUUUUGAAAAUUACUUUUUUGAUUAAAUUUAUUUGUAAAAAGUCUAUGCUGCCCUAAUGACUUACAAUGACCCCAACUACACUUUGGUCUUCGAUGUUGAACCACCACCUCUUAGACGAUGAAAACAACACAACGACGCU